rnacentral:lncRNA from 1 species
UCCUCGGCGCGGGCGUUUCGGUGGAGGGCAACUCUGAAGAGCGACAGGAGGAUUGGUCGCCGCUAAUUUUGGAGCGGAUGUGGCUGUUUCGGUGUUUUUUUUCUUUUCUUUUUGUUGGCGUUGGCUCAAGGACGGCAGAGUUUCGUCCGCCCACCUAAAUUGCUUAGCGUACAAUGUCAGGGGUACUUUUCUGUAUUGACGGUUAGAUCCCAUUGAGUAGGCUUAUCUUGACCCUCCAAUUGAUGUGUUUUCUUCUGUGUACAGUAAGCGGGGUGCGUUUAGGGGAGUUAACGUUUGCUUAUUUUAUAGUAGUAGAGAAGUGGAGAUAGAGAACGAUUUUUUUUGACAAAGCCCUGUGAACUUGGGUGUGCAGGCCAACAUUUCCAAAGGACUAGUGGUUGGGGCCCGUCAUUGCGGGCCGCUUGAGAAGAAGAUAUACGCAUCUUACCAUCAUGUGAAAAAAAUUAAAAAAUAUUCUUGCAUCAUGUGGACAUUGAAGGAAAUAUGCCCUAAAGGCAAUAAUAAAGUUGUUAUUAUUAUAUUUCCUUAUUCAUGAUAAAUGUUUUUUUAUUCAUACUAGAAUUGUAUUAACCGGUACCUUGAUAUAUGUGUGAAUACGUAGACAAAACACCGUGUCCCUAGUAUGCCUCUACUUGACUAGCUCGUUGAUCAAAGAUGGUUAAGUUUCCUAGCCAUGGACAUGUGUUUCCAUUUGAUGAACGGGAUCACAUCAUUGGGAGAAUGAUGCGAUGGACAAGACCAACUCGUUAGCUUAGCAUAAUGAUCGUUCAGUUUUAUUGCCACUGCUUUCUUCAUGUCAAAUACAUAUUCCUAUGACUAUGAGAUUAUGCAACUCCCGGACACCGGAGGAAUGCCUUUUGUGCUAUCAAACGUCACAAUAUAACUGGAUGACUAUAAGAUGCUCUACAGGUAUCUCCGAAGGUGUUUGUUGGGUUGGCAUAGAUCGAGAUUAGCAUUUGUCACUCCGAGUAUCGGAGAGGUAUCUCUGGGCCCUCUCGGUAAUGCACAUCAUAUGAAGCCUUGCAAGCAAUGUGACUAAUAAGUUAGUUGCGGGAAGAUACAUUAUGGAACGAGUAAAGAGACUUGCUAGUAAUGAGAUUGAACUAGGUAUGAAGAUACCAACGAUCGAAUCUCGGGGCAAGUAACAUACUGAUGACUCACUAGUAGAAAACAUGGCUAUCGUUCGGCCCUGGCCAGCCCAUUAGUCCCGGUUCUUCAAGAACCGGGACCAAUGGAAGGUAUUAGACCCGGUUCGUGAGCCCAGGGGGCCGGCCGGGGCCUCGUGGGCAUUGGUCUCGGUUCAUGUAGAACCAUUUGUCCCGGUUUGAGCCACGAACCGGGACCAAUGGUCCUCGCUGCUGGCCCACAACCAUUGGUCCCAUUGCGUGGCAUGAACCAGGACAGAAGGGGUGGCUUUAGUCCCGGUUCAUGCCACGAACCAGGACAAAUAACUUGCCUAUAUAUACCCACCGCCGUGGCAGAGCACUCCACAGUGCUCUGUUUUUUCAAUCCGGCGAGGAGAGGGCAUUUGGGUGCUCUAGUUCACCUCCUAUGCACAUGAGGUGUUCGAUGAAAUGUCUGAGCCACACUAGUUAAGCUUUCUCCUCUCGAAGCUCGACCUUGGAGCUCCAUUUUUUCGAUAUUUGUCUAGAUUUAGGGGUCCGUCACGCCCCGUCCCCGUUUUCACCGCCGUUGAUCGCCCGCGCCGAUCUCGUCGCCGGCACCACCAUGGUGAGCCUCCUGUUCUUAUCUUCUUUCUGAUACUUAUCUGAUUUUCUUACUUUAGAUAGAUAUUUGUCUGAUUUUCUUAAUUUUGACACACAUAAUUAUAUGUAAUGCAUGCAGAUGAACCGGCAAUGGAUGUAUGGUGACAGACACACCUCCGAGUACAUUAAGGGCUUGCAUAUUUUUCUCGAAGUGGCCGAGGCAAACAAGCAGAAUGGUUUUAUGUGUUGUCCAUGCACUAAAUGUGGGAAUACAAAGUCUUACUCUGACCGGAAAAUCCUUCACACCCACCUGCUUUACAAGGGUUUCAUGCCACACUAUAAUGUUUGAAUGAGGCACGGAGAAAUAGGGGUUAUGAUGGAAGACGACGAAGAAGAGUAUGAUGACAACUAUGUGCCCCCUGAAUACGGUGAUGCUGCAACGGGGGGAGCUGCUGAAGAUCAAGAGGAACCAGACGAUGUGCCCGAUGAUGCUGCUACGGGGGGAGCUGCUGAAGAUCAAGAGAAACCAGACGAUGUGCCCGAUGAUGAUCUCCGCCGAGUCAUUGUCGAUGCAAGGACGCUAUGCGAAAGUCAAAAGGAGAAGCUGAAGUUCGAUCGCAUGUUAGAGGAUCACAAAAAAGAGUUAUACCCCAAUUGUGAAGAUGGCAACACAAAGCUGGGUACUAUACUAGAAUUGCUGCAGUGGAAGGCAGAGAAUGAUGUGCCUGAUAAAGGAUUUGAGAAGCUACUAAAAAUAUUGAAGAAGAAGAUUCCAAAGGAUAAUGAAUUGCCCGACAGUACGUACGCAACAAAGAAGGUCGUAUGCCCUCUAGGAUUGGAGGUGCAGAAGAUACAUGCAUGCCCUAAUGACUGCAUCCUCUACCGCGGUGCGUACGAGGAUUUGAAUGCAUGCCCGGUAUGUGGUGCAUUGCGGUAUAAGAUCAGACGAGAUGACCCUGGUGAUGUUGACGGCAAGCCCCGCAGGAAGAGAGUUCCUGCGAAGGUGAUGUGGUAUGCUCCUAUAAUACCACGGUUGAAACAACUGUUCAGAAACAAAGAGCAUGCCAAGUUGAUGCGAUGGCACAGUGAGGACCGUAAGAAAGACGGGAAGUUGAGAGCACCCGCUGACGGGUCGCAGUGGAGAAAAAUCAAGAGAGAGUACUGGGCUGAGUUUGCACAUGACCCAAGGAACGUAUGGUUUGAUUUAAGCGCGGAUGGCAUUAAUCCUUUCGGGGAGCAGAGCAGCAAUCACAGCACCUGGCCCGUGACUCUAUGUAUGUAUAACCUUCCUCCUUGGAUGUGCAUGAAGCGGAAGUUCAUUAUGAUGCUAGUUCUCAUCCAAGGCCCUAAGCAACCCGGCAACGGCAUUGAUGUGUACCUAAGGCCAUUAGUUGAAGAACUUUUACAGCUGUGGAAUGAAAAUGGUGUACGUGCGUGGGAUGAGCACAAUCAGGAGGAAUUUAACUUGCACGCGUUGUUGUUUGUAACCAUCAAUGAUUGGCCCGCUCUCAGUAACCUUUCAGGACAGACAAACAAGAGAUACCACGCAUGCACGCACUGUUUAGUUGACACUGAAAGUAUAUACCUGAGAAGCUGCAGGAAGAAUGUGUACCUGGGCCAUCGUUGAAUUCUUCCGACCAACCAUCAAUGUCAAAAGAAAGGCAAGCAUUUCAAAGGCGAGACAGAUCACCGGAAGAAUCCCGCCAUGCGUACCGGUGAUCACGUACUGGCUAUGGUCAAUGAUUUACACGUAAUCUUUGGAUAGGGUCCCAGCGGACUAGCUGUUCUGAGUGACGCUGGGGGACACGCACCCAUGUAGAAGAAGAAAUCUAUAUUUUGGGACCUACCCUACUGGAAAGACCUAGAGAUCCGCUCUUCGAUCGACGUGAUGCACGUGACGAAGAACCUUUGCGUGAACCUGCUAGGCUUCUUGGGUGUGUAUGGGAAGACAAAAGAUACAGCUGAGGCACGGGAGGACCUGUAACGUUUGCGCGAAAAAGACGGCAUGCCUCCAAAGUAGUAUGAAGGUCCUGCCAGCUACGCUCUGAAGGAAAUAUGCCUUAGAGGCAAUAAUAAAGUUAUUAUUUAUUUCCUUAUAUCAUGAUAAAUGUUUAUUAUUCAUGCUAGAAUUGUAUUAACCGGAAACAUAAUACAUGUGUGAAUACAUAGACAAACAUAGUGUCACUAGUAUGCCUCUUCUUGACUAGCUCGUUUAUCAAAGAUGGUUAUGUUUUCUAGCCAUGGACAAAAGAGUUGUCAUUUCAUUAACGGGAUCACAUCAUUAGGAGAAUGAUGUGAUUGACUUGACCCAUUCCAUUAGCCUUAGCACUUGAUCAUUUAGUAUGUUGCUACUACUUUCUUCACGACUUAUACAUGUUCCUAUGACUAUGAGAUUAUGCAACUCCCGUUUACCGGAGGAACACUUUGUGUGCUACCAAACGUCACAACGUAACUGGGUGAUUAUAAAGGAGCUCUACAGGUGUCUCAAAGGUACAUGUUGGGUUGGCAUAUUUCGAGAUUACGAUUUGUCACUUCGAUUGUCGGAGAGGUGUCUCUGGGCCCACUCGGUAAUGCACACCACUGUAAGCCUUGCAAGCAUUGCAACUAAUGAGUUAGUUGCGGGACGAUAUAUUAUGUAACAAGUAAAAAGACUUGCCGGUAACGAGAUUGAACUAGGUAUUAAGAUACCGACGAUCAAAUCUUGGGCAAGUAACAUAUCGAUGACAAAGGGAACAACAUAUGUUGUUAUGCGGUUUGACCAAUAAAGAUCUUCGUAGAAUAUGUGGGAGCCAAUAUGAGCAUCCAGGUUCCGCUAUUGGUUAUUGACCGGAGACAUGUCUCGGUCAUUUCUACAUUGUUCUCGAACCCGUAGGGUCCGCACGCUUAAGGUUUCGAUGACAGUUAUAUUAUGAGUUUAUGAGUUUCGAUGUACCGAAGGAGAUUGUAGUCCCGGAUGAGAUCAGGGACAUGACGAGGAGUCUCGAAAUGGUCGAGACGUAAAGAUCGAUAUAUUGGACGACUAUAUUCGGACUUCAGAAAGGUUCCGAGUGAUUCGGGUAUUUUUCAGAGUACGGGAGAGUUACGGGAAUUCGCCGGGGAGUAUAUGGGCCUUAUUGGGCCAUACGGGAAUAGAGGAGAGAGGUCAAAAGGAAGGAGGACUGCGCCCCCCCCCCUCUGGUCCGAAUUGGACAAGGGGCGCAACCCCCUUUUCCUUCUUCCUCUUCCCCUCUUUCCCCUUCUCCUACUCCAACAAGGAAGGAGGGAGUCCUACUCCCGGUGGGAGUAGGACUCCCCUUGGCACGCGCCCUCCUAGGCCGGCCGUCCCCUCCCCCUUGCUCCUUUAUAUACGGGGGCAGGGGGGCACCUCUAGGCACAACAACAAUUGAUCCUUGAGAUCUCUUAGCCGUGUGCGGUGCACCCCUCCACCAUAAUCCACCUCGAUAAUAUCGUAGCGGUGCUUAGGCGAAGCCCUGCGUCGGUAGAACAUCAAGAUCGUCACCACGCCGUCGUGCUAACGGAACUCUCCCUCGACACUCGGCUGGAUCGGAGUUCGAGGGACGUCAUCGAGCUGAACGUGUGUUAGAACUCGGAGGUGUCGUAGUUUCGGUGCUUGAUCGGUCGGGCCAUGAAGACGUACGACUACAUCAACCGCGUUGUUCUAACGCUUUCGCUUUCGGUCUACAAGGGUACAUGGACAACACUCUCCCCUCUCGUUGCUAUGCAUCACCAUGAUCUUGCGUGUGCGUAGGAAUUUUUUUGAAAUUACUACGUUCCCCAAUAGUGGCAUCCGAGCCUAGGUUUUAUGCGUUGAUGUUAUAUGCACGAGUAGAACACAAGUGAGUUGUGGGCGAUACAAGUCAUACUGCUUACCAGCAUGUCAUACUUUGGUUUGGCGGUAUUGUUGGAUGAAGCGGCCCGGACCGACAUUACGCGUACGCUUACGCGAGACUGGUUCUACCAACAUGCUUUGCACACAGGUGGCUGGCGGGUGUCAGUUUCUCCAACUUUAGUUGAACCGAGUGUGCUACACCCAGUCCUUGUGAAGAUUAAAACAUCACUAACUUGAUGAACUAUCAUUGUGGUUUUGAUGCGUAGGUAAGAACGGUUCUUGCACAGCCCGUAGCAGCCACGUAAAAUUUGCAACAACAUAGUAGAGGACGUCUAACUUGUUUUUGCAGGGCAUGUUGUGAUGUGAUAUGGUCAAGACGUGAUGAGAUAUAAGUUGUUGCAUGAGAUGAUCAUGUUUUGUUGAAGUUAUCGUCAACUGGCAGAAGCCCUAUGGUUGUCUCUUUGUUGCAUAAGAUGCAAGUGCCAAAUAAUUGCUUUACUUUAUCGCUAUGUGAUAGCAAUAGUUGCAAGAGCAAUAGUUGGCGAGACGACCAUGUGACGACACAUUGAUAUAGAUCAAGAUGAUGAAGAUCAUGGUGUCGUGCCGGUGACGAUAGAGAUAAUGACAGUACUUUGGAGAUGGAGAUCAAAGGCGCAAGAUGAUCAUGGCCAUAUCAUGUCACAUAUUUUGAUUGCAUAUGAUGUUUAUCUGUUGUACAUCUUAUUUUGCAUAGUUCGACGGUAGCAUUUUAAGAUGAUCUCUCACUAAUUAUCAAGAAGUGUUCUCCCUGAGUAUGCACCGUUGCGAAAGUUCUUCGUGCUGAGACACCACGUGAUGAUCGGAUGUGAUAGGCUCUACGUUCAAAUACAAUGGGUGCAAAACAGUUGCACAUGCGGAAUACUCAGGUUAAACUUGACGAGCCUAGCAUAUACAGAUAUGGCCUCGGAACACGGAGACCGAAAGGUCGAACGUGAAUCAUAUAGUAGAUAUGAUCAACAUAGUGAUGUUCACCAUUAAAAACUACUCCAUCUCAUGUGAUGAUCGGACAUGGUUUAGUUGAUUUGGAUCACGUGAUCACUUAGAUGACUAGAGAGAUGUCUGUCUAAGUGGGAGUUCUUAAGUAAUAUGAUUAAUUGAACUUUAAUUUAUCAUGAACUUAGUCCUGGUAGUAUUUUGCAAUUAUGUUGUAGAUCAAUAGCUCGCGUUGUUGCUUCCCUAUGAUUUUGCUUCCCUAUGUUUUUAUAUGUGUUCCUAGAGAAAAUUAAGUUGAAAAAUGUUAGUAGCAAUGAUGCGGACUUGGUCUGUGAUCUGAGGUUUAUCCUCAUUGCUGCACAGAAGAAUUAUGUCCUUGAUGCACCUCUAGGUGACAGACCUAUUGCAGGAGCAGAUGCAGACGUUAUGAAUGUUUGGCUAGCUCAAUAUGAUGACUACUUGAUAGUUUUGUGCACCAUUCUUUAUGGCUUAGAACCGGGACUACAAAAACAUUUUUGAAACGUCAUGGAACAUAUAAGAUGUUUCAAGAGAUGAAAUUGGUAUUUCAGACUCAUGCCCGUGUCAAGAGGUAUGUGACAUCUGACAAAUACUUCGCCUAAAAGAUGGAGGAGAAUUGCUCAACUAGUGAGCAAGUACUUCGAUUGUCUGAGUACUACAAUCGCUUGAAUCAAGUGGGAGUUAAUAUUCCAGAUAAAAUAGUGAUUGGCAGAGUUCUCUAGUCACCAUCACCAAGUUACUGGAACUUCGUGAUGAACUAUAAUGCAAGGGAUAACGUAAACGAUUCCCGAGUUCUUCGUGAUGCUGAAAUCGACGAAGGUAGAAAUCAAGAAAAGAGCAUCAAGUGUUGAUGAUUGACAAGACCACUAGUUUUAAGAAAAGGGCAAAGUAAAAUAAAGGGAACUUCAAGUAGAAUGGCAAGCAAGUUGUCACUCCCGCGAAGAAGCCCAAAGCUGGACCAAAGCCUGAAACUGAGUGAUAAUACUGCAAAGGAAAUGGUCACUAGAAGCAGAAAUGCCCUGAAUAUUUGGUGGAUAAGAAGGAUGGCAAAGUGAACAAGAGUAUAUUUGAUAUACAUGUUAUUGAUGUGUGCUUUACUAGUGUUUAUAGUAGCCCCUGAGUAUUUGAUACUUGUUCGGUUGCUAAAUAUUAGUAACUCGAAACAGGAGUUACAGAAUAAACAGAGAGUAGUUGAGGGUGAAGUGACGAUGUGUGUUGGAAGUAGUUCCAAGAUUGAUAUGAUCAUCAUCACACUCUCCCUACACUUUCGAGAUUAGUGUAGAACCUAAAUAAAUGUUAUUUGGCGUUUGCGUUGAGCAUGAAUAUGAUUUGGUCAUGUUUAUUGCAAUACGGUUAUUCAUUUAAAGUCAGAGAAUAAUUGUUGUUCUGUUUACAUGAAUAAAGCCUUCAAUGGUCAUACACCCAAUGAAAAUAGUUUGUUGGAUCUCGAUCAUAGUGAUACACAUAUUCAUAAUAUUGAUGCCAAAAGAUGCAAAGUUGAUAAUGAUAGUGCAACUUAUUUGUGGCCCUGUCGUUUGCGUCAUAUUGGUGUAAAGCGCAUGAAGAAACUCCAUACUGAUGGACUUCUGGAAUCACUUGAUUAUGAAUCAUUUGGUACUUGUGAACCGUGCCUUUUGGGCAAGAUGACUAAAACUCCAUUCUUCGGAACAAUGGAACGAGCUACCGAUUUAUUGGAAAUAAUACAUACCGAUGUAUGCGAUCCAAUGAGUGUUGAUGCUCGUGGCGAGUAUCGUUAUUUUCUGACCUUCAUAGAUGAUUUGAGCAGAUAUGGGUAUAUCUACUUCAUAAAACACAAGUCUGAAACAUUUCAAAUGUUCAAAGAAAUUCAGAGUGAAGUGAAGAAUCAUCGUAACAAGAAAAUAAAGUUUCUACGAUCUGAUCAUGGAGAAGAAUAUUUGAGUUACGAGUUUGGCCUUCAUAUAAAACAAUGUGGAAUAGUUUCACAGCUCACGCCACAUGGAACACCACAGCAUUAUGGUGUGUCCAAACGUCGUAACCGCACUUUAUUGGAUAUGGUGCAAUCUAUGAUGUCUCUUAUCGAUUUACCACUAUCAUUAUGGGGUUAUGCAUUAGAGAUAGCUGCAUUCACUUAAAUAGGGCACCAUCAAAAAUCCGUUGAGAUGAUGCCUUAUUAACUGUGGUUUGGCAAGAAACCAAAGUUGUCGUUUCUUAAAUUUUGGGGCUGCGAUGCUUAUGUGAAAAAGUUUCAACCUGAUAAGCUCGAACCCAAAACGGAGAAGUGCGUCUUCAUAGAAUACCCAAAGGUAACUAUUGGGUACACCUUCUAUCACAGAGCCGAAGGCAGGUUAUUCAUUGCUAAGAUGGAUCCUUUCUAGAGAAGAAGUUUCUCUCGAAAGAAGUGAGUGGGAGGAAAGUAGAACUUGAUGAGGUGAUUGUACCUUCUCCCUUAUUGGAAAGUAGUUCAUCACAGGAAUCAGUUCUAGUGAUUCCUACACCAAUUAGUGAGGAAGUUAAUGACGAUGAUCAUGAAACUUCAGAUCAAGUUGCUACCAAACCUCGUAGGUCUUCCAGAGUAAGAUCCGCACCAGAGUGGUACGGUAAUCAUGUUCUGGAAGUCAUGUUAAUAGACCAUGAUGAACCUACGAACUAUGAGGAAGCGAUGAUGAGCCCAGAUUCCGCGAAAUGGCUUGAGGCCAUAAAAUCUAAGAUAUGAUCCAUGUAUGAGAACAAAGUAUGGACUUUGAUUGACUUGCUCCAUGAUCAGCAAGCCAUGUUAAAUAAAUGGAUCUUCAAGAGGAAGACGUACACUGAUAGUAGUGUUACUAUCUACUAAGCUCGACUUGUUGUGAAAGGUUUUCAACAAGUUCAAGGUGUUGAAUAUGAUGAGAUUUUCUCACUCGUAACGAUGCUUAAGUCUGUUCGAAUCAUGUUAGCAAUUGCCACAUUUUAUGAAAUCUGGCAAAUGGAUGUCAAAACUGCAUUCCUUAAAUGGAUAUUUCUUAAAGAAGUGUUGUAUAUGAUACAACCAGAAGGUUUUGUCAAUCCUAAAAGUGCUAACAAUAUGUGCAAGCUCCAGCGAUCCAUCAAUGGACUGGUGCAAGCAUCUCGGAGUUGGAACAUACGCUUUGAUGAGUUGAUCAAAGCAUAUGGUUUUAUACAGACUUUUGGAAAGGCCUGUAUUUACAAGAAAGUGAGUGGGAGCACUAUAGACUCUCUGAUAAGAAUGUGUGAAUAACAUAUUAUUCAUCGAAAAUGAUGUAGAAUUUUCUGCAAAGCAUAAAGGAGUGUUUGAAAAGAGUUUUUUAAAGAAAGACCUCAGUAAAGCUGCUUACACAUUGAGCAUCAAGAUCCAUAGAGAUAGAUCAAGACGCUUGAUAAGAUUUUCAACGAGUACAUACCUUGACAAGAUUUUGAAGUAAUUCAAAAUGGAACAGUCAAAGAAAGAGUUCUUGCCUGUGUUGCAAAGGUAUGAAAUUGAGUAAGACUCAAAUCCCGACCACGACAGAAAAUAGAAAGAGAAUGAAAGUCAUUCCCUAUGCAUCAGUCAUAUGUUCUAUAAAAGUAUGCCAUGCUAUGGACCAGACCUAUUGUAUACCUUUCUCUGAAUUUGGCAAAGGAAUACAAUUUUGAUCUAAUAGUAGAUCACUGGACAGCGGUCAAGAAUAUCCUUAGUGAGGACUAAGGAGAUGUUUCUCGAUUAUGGAGGUGAUAAAAGAGUUCGUCGUAAAAGUUACAUUGGUGCAAACUUUUACACUAAUCCAGAUGACUCUAAGUCUCAAUCUGGAUACAUCUUGAAAGUGGGAGCAAUAAGCUAGAGUAGCUCCGUGCAGAGCAUUGUAGACAUAGAAUAUUUACAAAAUACAUACGGCUCUGAAUGUGAUAGACCCGUUGACUAAACUUCUCUCAUGAGCAAAACAUGAUCAUACCUUAGUACACUUUGGGUGUUAAUCACAUAGCGAUGUGAAAUAGAUUAUUGACUCUAGUAAACCCUUUGAGUGUUGGUCACAUGACGAUGUAAACUAUGGGUGUUAAUCACAUACAGAUGUGAAUAUUGGUGUUGAAUCACAUGAUGAUGUGAACUAGAUUAUUGACUUUAGUGCAAGUGGGAGACUGAAGGAAAUAUGCCCUAGAGGCAAUAAUAAAGUUAUUAUUUAUUUCCUUAUAUCAUGAUAAAUGUUUAUUAUUCAUGCUAGAAUUGUAUUGACCGGAAACGUAAUACAUGUGUGAAUACGUAGACAAACAUAGUGUCACUAGUAUGCCUCUACUUGACUAGCUCGUUUAUCAAAGAUGGUUAUGUUUCCUAGCCAUGGACAAAAGAGUUGUCAUUUGAUUAACAGGAUCACAUCAUUAGGAGAAUGACGUGAUUGACUUGACCCAUUGCAUUAGCCUUAGCACUUAAUCGUUUAGUAUGUUGCUACUGCUUUCUUCAUGACUUAUACAUGUUCCUAUGACUAUGAGAUUAUGCAGCUCCCGUUUACCGGAGGAACACUUUGUGUGCUACCAAACGUCACAACGUAACUGGGUGAUUAUAAAGGAGCUCUACAAGUGUCUCCGAAGGUACAUGUUGGGUUGGCGUAUUUUAAGAUUAGGAUUUGUCACUCCGAUUGUCGAUGAGGUAUCUCUGGGCCCACUCGGUAAUGCACAUCACUGUAAGCCUUGCAAGCAUUGCAACUAAUGAGUUAGUUGCGGGAUGAUGUAUUAUGUAACGAGUAAAGAGACUUGCCGGUAACGAGAUUGAACUAGGUAGUAAGAUACCGACGAUCAAAUCUCGGGCAAGUAACAUACCGAUGACAAACGGAACAACAUGUGUUGUUAUGCGGUUUGACCGAUAAAGAUCUUCGUAGAAUAUGUGGGAGCUAAUAUGAGCAUCCAGGUUCCGCUAUUGGUUAUUGAACGGAGAAAUGUCUCGGUCAUGUCUACAUUGUUCUCGAACCCGUAGGGUCCGCACGCUUAAGGUUUCGAUGACAGUUAUAUUAUGAGUUUAUGAGUUUUGAUGAACCUAAGGAGUUCGGAGUCCCGGAUGAGAUCAGGGACAUGACGAGUAGUCUCGAAAUGGUCGAGACGUAAAGAUCGAUAUAUUGGACGACUAUAUUCGGACUUCGGAAAGGUUCCGAGUGAUUCGGGUAUUUUUCGGAGUACCGGAGAGUUACGGGAAUUCGCCGGGGAGUAUAUGGGCCUUAUUUGGGCCAUACGGGAAUAGAGGAGAGAGACCAAAAGGAAGGAGGCCUGCGCCCCCCCUCUGGUCCGAAUUGGACAAGGGGCGCAGCCCCCUUUUCCUUCUUCCUCUCCCCCUCUUUCCCCUUCUCCUACACCAACAAGGAAGGAGGGAGUCCUACUCCCGGUGCGCCCCCUCCUAGGCCGGCCGCCCCCUUCCCGCUUGCUCCUUUAUAUACGGGGGCAAGGGGGCACCUCUAGGCACAACAACAAUUGAUCCUUGAGAUCUCUUAGCCGUGUGCAGUGCCGCCCUCCACCAUAAUCCACCUCGAUAAUAUCAUAGCGGUGCUUAGGCGAAGCCCUGCGUUGGUAGAACAUCAAGAUCGUCACCACGCCGUCAUGCUGACGGAACUCUCCCUAGACACACUGCUAGAUCGGAGUUCGAGGGACGUCAUUGAGCAGAACGUGUGCUAGAACUCGGAGGUGCCGUAGUUUCGGUGCUUGAUCGGUCGGGCCGUGAAGACGUACGACUACAUCAACCGCAUUGUUCUAACGCUUCUACGAGGGUACGUGGACAACACUCUCCCCUCUCGUUGCUAUGCAUCACCAUGAUCUUGCGUGUGCGUAGGAAUUUUUUUAAAAUUACUACGUUCUCCAACACGCUCUUACCAAAGAAGAGAAGGAAAUCUUCUUUGAAUGCAUGCUUAGUAUGAAGGUCCCGACUGGCUUCUCGUCGAAUAUAAAGGGAAUAAUAAAUAUGGUAGAGAAAAAGUUUCAGAACCUAAAGUCUCAUGACUGCCACAUGAUUAUGACGCAACUGCUUCCGGUUGCAUUGAGGGGGCUUCUACCAAAAAACGUCUGAUUAGCCAUUGUGAAGCUAUGUGCAUUCCUCAAUGCAAUCUCUCAGAAGGUGAUCGAUCCAGAAAUCAUACCAAGGCUAAGGAGUGAUGUGGUGCAAUGUCUUGUCAGUUUCGAGCUGGUGUUCCCACCAUCCUUCUUCAAUAUCGUGACGCACGUCCUAGUUCAUCUAGUUGACGAGAUUGUCAUUCUGGGCCCCAUAUUUCUACACAAUAUGUACCCCUUUGAGAGGUUCAUGGGAGUCCUAAAGAAAUAUGUCCGUAACCGCGCUAGGACAGAAGGAAGCAUCUCCAUGGGCCAUCAAACAGAGGAUGUCAUUGGGUUUUGUGUUGACUUCAUUCUUGACCUUAAGAAGAUAGGUCUCCCUAAAUCAUGGUAUGAGGGGAGAAUGACUAGAAAAGGCACGCUUGGAGGGGAGACAAUAAUAUGCAGGGACGGAUAUUCUUAGUCUCAAGCACACUCCACAGUUCUACAGAACUCUACCUUGGUGACCCCUUAUGUCGAUGAACACAAGAACAGUCUGCGCUCCAAACACCCGGAACAGUGCGACGACUGGAUUACAUGCGAACACAUCAGGACUUUCAGCAGUUGGUUGGAAACACGUCUCAGAGAUGAAAACACUGUUUGGGAUGAGUUGUACUCGUUGUCCAGGGGACCAUCUUCGACUGUUAUGAUUUGGAAAGGAUACAAGAUAAAUGGAAAUACAUUUUACAUGAUUGCCCAAGAUCAAAAGAGCACCAACCAAAACAACGGUGUCCUCUUUGAUGCAGCCACCGAGAGGGGAAAGGACACAUAUUAUGGUUACAUAGUGGACAUAUGGGAACUUGACUACGGAGUAGAUUUUAAGGUCCCUUUGUUUAAGUGCAAAUGGGUCAAUUUGUCAGGAGGCGGGGUACAGGUAGACCCACAGUACAGAAUGACAACAGUGGAUCUGAACAAUCUUGGGUACACUAACGAACCGUUCGUCCUAGCCAAUGAUAUGGCACAAGUUAUCUAUGUGAAGGACAUGUCUACCAAACCAAGAAAAAGAAAAAAUAAUGAAGCGAAUACAUCAUACGAUGAGCCAAAGCGCCACAUAGUUCUUUCAGGAAAAAGGGACAUCGUGGGAGUGGAGGGCAAGACAGACAUGUCCGAAGAUUAUGAAAAGUUUCAUGAAAUUCCUCCCUUCAAAGUCAAGGCUGACCCAAGCAUCCUGAUAAAUGAUGAAGAUUAUCCAUGGUUACGGCACAAUAAGGAAAGGACACAAGCAAAGAAAAAGUGAAGACUUUCUUCACAACUAUUAUGAUGAUACCAUGCCAACUUUCAACCUUUUUGUAGUUCAUUUGAAAUGCAUGUUGUAACAGACAAGUUUCCGUAUGCAAUCCUGAUACUUCUAAAGAGAUUGUUCGUUUUGUACAUGAAGUGCAUCCAGUUUUUGCCGUAACCCUCUCAACUUUCUUACAUAUGCUAUGUGGAUGAAAUGAUGAUACCAUGCCAAAAUAAAAGAGAGGCGCAAUUCUCACCUGCACGUUGCUUAGCUUCAGGCCAACGUGCAGGUGAGCACUGCGCUUCUCCCUUCAUCGUCUAUACACUCAGGGCUUAUAAACCGCUGCGAGUGCCUCUCGCUUGGCGAGGUGGGACUAACAAACAGCUGCAGAAAAAAUCAACUAAAAAACUCUUUUACCGGUUCAUGCCACGAACCGGUACUAAAAGGUGCUCGUGGGGCCCCAGCGUUAAAACCUUAGUAGCAAAAAGAAUUAUCAUAAAAGAAAAUAAAUAAGUAAUUAGAAUUUUGUUACAAACUUUAAUAGCAAAAAGAAUUAUCAUAAAAGAAAAUAAACAAGUAAUUAGAAUUUUGUUACAAACUUUAAUAGCAAAAAUAAUUAACAUAAAAGAAAAUAAAUAAGUAAUUNNNNNNNNNNNNNNNNNNNNNNNNNNNNNNNNNNNNNNNNNNNNNNNNNNNNNNNNNNNNNNNNNNNNNNNNNNNNNNNNNNNNNNNNNNNNNNNNNNNNNNNNNNNNNNNNNNNNNNNNNNNNNNNNNNNNNNNNNNNNNNNNNNNNNNNNNNNNNNNNNNNNNNNNNNNNNNNNNNNNNNNNNNNNNNNNNNNNNNNNNNNNNNNNNNNNNNNNNNNNNNNNNNNNNNNNNNNNNNNNNNNNNNNNNNNNNNNNNNNNNNNNNNNNNNNNNNNNNNNNNNNNNNNNNNNNNNNNNNNNNNNNNNNNNNNNNNNNNNNNNNNNNNNNNNNNNNNNNNNNNNNNNNNNNNNNNNNNNNNNNNNNNNNNNNNNNNNNNNNNNNNNNNNNNNNNNNNNNNNNNNNNNNNNNNNNNNNNUAAUUAGAAUUUUGUUACAAACUUUAAUAGCAAAAAGAAUUAUCGUAAAAGAAAAUAAAUAAGUAAUUAGAAACAAAAAGAAAGCAAAAAAACUGGGAAAAAUUUAAAAAAAGUGCCACCUACAGGGCCACCACGGCCUGCAUACGACUAGAAACCCAUUACUAGGGCCAGGAUGCAGGCCCGCAGUAGGCCCAAUAGGCCCACAAGCACAAAGAGUGAAUUUAGGCCCGUAAGCCUGUAGUAGAGAGGAGCUCGAAGUGGUUGGUUCGGCAGGGCUUAUAAACCACUCCGAGCCCCUCUCGGCUAGCGAGGUGGGACUAAACAUAGCAUCGCAACGCGCCAGUUCCAGCACACGACCUUUGGUCCCGGUUGGUGGCACCAAUCGGGACUAAAGGGGUGCAUUUAUACUGGUUUGUGGCACAAACCGGUACCAAUGCCCCCCUUUAGUCCCAGUUGGUGCCACCAACCGGGACCAAAGGUCUCUGUUUCCCGCCCUUUGAGCUGCUGAAAAGAGACCUUUGGUCCCGGUUUGUGGCACCAACCGGGACUAAAGGGGGUCAUUGGUCCCGAUUGGUGCCACGAACCGGGACCAAUGCUCUGCCUAUAAAACUGGCACUCGUGAAAAUUUCAUUCUGUUCGUUCUUCCCCGCCCCGACGCUGCCAGGCUGCCCGUCUCCGCCUCGCCGUCGCCGUCGUCGCCCAGCGCCGUCCCGCGCCGCCUCGACACCGUCCCGCGCUGCCCCGACGCCGUCGCCGCCCCCCGCCCCGUGCCCCNNNNNNNNNNNNNNNNNNNNNNNNNNNNNNNNNNNNNNNNNNNNNNNNNNNNNNNNNNNNNNNNNNNNNNNNNNNNNNNNNNNNNNNNNNNNNNNNNNNNNNNNNNNNNNNNNNNNNNNNNNNNNNNNNNNNNNNNNNNNNNNNNNNNNNNNNNNNNNNNNNNNNNNNNNNNNNNNNNNNNNNNNNNNNNNNNNNNNNNNNNNNNNNNNNNNNNNNNNNNNNNNNNNNNNNNNNNNNNNNNNNNNNNNNNNNNNNNNNNNNNNNNNNNNNNNNNNNNNNNNNNNNNNNNNNNNNNNNNNNNNNNNNNNNNNNNNNNNNNNNNNNNNNNNNNNNNNNNNNNNNNNNNNNNNNNNNNNNNNNNNNNNNNNNNNNNNNNNNNNNNNNNNNNNNNNNNNNNNNNNNNNNNNNNNNNNNNNNNNNNNNNNNNNNNNNNNNNNNNNNNNNNNNNNNNNNNNNNNNNNNNNNNNNNNNNNNNNNNNNNNNNNNNNNNNNNNNNNNNNNNNNNNNNNNNNNNNNNNNNNNNNNNNNNNNNNNNNNNNNNNNNNNNNNNNNNNNNNNNNNNNNNNNNNNNNUGGUCAUAGAAUUUUUAUGAUUUUUUUCUGUUGUAAUUUUGUUCAUAGAAUUUUAAUGAUUUUUUGUUCAUAGUAUUUUCUUUGUCAAUUUAUGUAUAUGUUCAUAUUGUGUAUGUAUAGGAAAAUUGUGCAUGAUCAAAGUCAUUUAUGAAUAUCUUCAUAUUUAGAAUAGAGGAAAAAGGAAAAAAAAUAAGAGAACUAUAGUUAAACUAGUUUAUUUUUAGUAAGUACUGCUUUAUUUUAUUUAUAGUAAGUGCUUCAUAUAUAGUUGAAUUAGCUAGUUGAUUUAAUAAACUACUUUAUUUUACUCUAUAUAGAAGUAGUCUGUUUUUAGUAAGUACUACUUUAUUUAUUUAUAGUAAGUGCUUAGUAGUUGAACUAGUUGAUUUAAUUAAUAAAACUACUUUGUUUAACUAUAUAUAGAAGUAGUUCCUGCAUUGACGUCGACGAUGCCUAUCCCGCAUCCUCGGUGUCGUCGACUCGGCGGUGGAGGCCUGCUUGAUCAGGGCCAUGUUCGGGACUGGGCUACGCCGGGCUGGUAUUGGGAGGUGCUACCUUCCGGGGGACGUAUGUUGGUGAGGAGGCAGCCCGUUGUUGACUCGAUCCUUGUUUGGUGGCGGUCGUGUGGGCCAGUGAUGGUGCCGAGGCUUCCGGACACCGUGGAGGUGGUACGUCAUCGUGUCAGGAGGAGGCCGAGCAUGUACGUCGCUACAUGGUUGCAUUGGAGGGCAGGUUCGACAAUACCUGGCAGGUUCUUCAGGGAUCUCACUGAAGCUAUGAUCCUGUGAUGGUUCCUUAUCAUUGGGCGUCCACCGCCUGCGGUGAUACCCGUCGGGUGCUACGGUUCUAGCUGUAUUAAUUAGCGAUGCUAUAUGUAUGAUAGUAUUCGAGGAGUAUUAGUGAUAAUAUUCGACGAUGUCCAACACAAGAGAUGAUGUACUUUUGGUUAUAAUUGAAUGCAUGCUAAUUUGAAUACUACUUUAUUUUACGAUUUGGUUUUGCUUAUUGAAUGCUCAUAUUGGAAAAGUACUCCUACUUUGAAUGCUAAAAUUGAAGAGCACUCUAUGCAGAAAUCUAGGAGCCCCCUCCAUCAUCCACGCCAUCGUGGGGGUAGCUUCUCCUUCAUUCCCGUGUGCUAGACAAUUUGGUGUAAUAAUGCACUCAGGAAUGAAAGGAGGAGCUACGUACCAUCACUGAUAGUCAACCCGUGCUUAAUAAUAAUGAUCAAAUUUAGGUUUUUAGUACAUAUAUUUAAUUGUACAAGUUUAAUAUUUGAAUUAUGAACUUAGGCCGGAAAUGUUGUACUCGGACGAUGAAAACCGCCCGGGGGAGUGUGACUGGUGCCACGACGACCGAGGUAUGUGCGACAGGUUCAUUGACCUGGACAAAGAUCGGCGCUUCAGCAUUAAGCUCGGGGAGACCUUCGAUGUUCAUACGGUACGCAACGACGACAAUAAUUUUUUUCGUAAUUAAGCACGACUUCAACUAUUUUAACGUGUAUUUUCAUCUUUUCCAAUUCGACUAGCUUAUCCCAUGCUAUGCAAGACGCUAUGUCUUCGAGAGGAUGGGUUUUGAAGACCAUGAAAGUAUGGAAACCAAAAAAAUUCUCCUAAGGACCCAUCAUGGUGUGGAUUUUAAAGUAAAGCUAUACAAUGCUGAGAAUGUAACCCAUUUUGGUUGCAAAAAUUGGGAAGCACUUUGCAAGAUGUAUGGUUUUGAUGAGGGUAUGCUUGUCACCAUGGAUCUUGGUGAUCCUACAAUCAAGCAAGACAAUAUGGACAUUUGGGUCCUUGUGGAUACACCUCCAAUUCUUCCCCCAUGUGAGCUUAACAUAGUUAUUAAGUAAUUUAUAUUGUUUAUUUCAAAAUAGUUGACAACUUAUUUCCAUUCACAACUUAUUUUCAUUCUUCAAAGAAUGUGCGGAAGAUGGUAGACAAAACCCACUACACCAAUGGCUCCGAAUUAACUUAUAAGGAGAAAAAUCAUCUGAUCGCAUUUUGUACCGAUCUUGAGAAUUACAAUGUCUACAAUCGAACUCCUCAACAUUCUGGUCAAUACGUGCCACUAGUGCACGUGUUAAACUAUGGUAACUACCAUGGAGAUACCCUUGUAAGAUUUUUUACUAUUAUGACAUCCCUGCAUCUUUUUGCAUACUUCUAAAACUAGUACAUCAUUACUAACUAUGAAGUUAUUACUAUGUUUUUCAACAGAUAAUCCCGAAUGAUUGUGUGCCUCAUCUGAUGUAUAUGCACGGUCGCCUUGAUGUUUUGAACAUACAACCAAGUCGUCCUAUGAAUCUCAACUGUCCAUACCGGAUUUCUAAAAGAAGUGGAGACAUGACAAUCAAAGAAUGGAAAAAAUGUAUGGACAGUCGUAAGGAGCUUCUUGGAAGCAAAAGGAGGUGAAGCGCAAGAAUUGGAGACAUGAUGAUCUCAUUCUUCAUAAUGGAGAGUCAGGGUCUAUAUUGUUUUAUGCUAUUUUACCUUAAGGGUGUUUAGGUCCUACCUGAUACUGAUGAUCAUGUGCUAAGAACAAUUAUGCAGGGUUGGUGAGGGAGUCCUGGACUAGGGGGUGUCCAGAUAGGCGGACUAUCAUCAUCGGCCGGGCUCCAAGACUAUGAAAAUACAAGAUUGAAGACUUCGUCCCUGUCCGGAUGGGACUUUCCUUGGUGUGGAAGGCAAGCUUGGCGAUACGGAUAUGUAGAUCUCCUACCAUUGUAACCGACUCUGUGUAACCCUAGCCCUCUCCCGUGUCUAUAUAAACCAGAUGGCUUUAGUCCGUAGGACGAACAACAAUCAUACCAUAGGCUAGCUUCUAGGGUUUAGCCUCCUUGAUCUCGUGGUAGAUCUACUCUUGUAAUACCCACAUCAUCAAUAUCAAUCAAGCAGGACGUAGGGUUUUACCUCCAUCAAGAGGGCCCGAACCUGGGUAAAACAUCGUGUCCCUUGUCUCCUGUUACCAUCCGCCUAGACGCACAGUUCGGGACCCCCUACCCGAGAUCCGCCGGUUUUGACACCGACAUUGGUGCUUUCAUUGAGAGUUCCUCUGUGUCGUCACCGAUAGGCUCGAUGGCUUCUUUGAUCAUCAAUAACGAUGCAGUCCAGGGUGAGACCUUCCUUCCCGGACAGAUCUUCGUAUCCGGCGGCUUUGCACUGCGGGCCAAUUCGCUUGGCCAUCUGGAGCAGAUCGAAAGCUACGCCCCUGGCCGUCAGGUCAGAUUCGGAAGUUUGAACUUCACGGCUGACAUCCGCGGGGACUUGAUCUUCGAUGGAUUCGAGCCACAGCCAAGCGCGCCGCACUGUCACGACGGGCAUGACUUAGCUCUACAGCCGGACAGUAACCUGGAGGCCGCACACGAGUCUGCUCUGAUCUUCAAUUCAGAGACGGCUGCGCAGAUCGAGGACGGGUGGCUAGACACCGCCUCGGGGGCUGCAACCUCUACGGCGAUAGAGCCGAACACUGACCUAGUCCCUCAUGAAGCUCGUGACUCCGAGGUGCCGGACUCCUCGCCGAACUCCAAACCUCCCGCGCCCCCUCCAAUCGAAUCCGAUUGGGCGCCGGUCAUGGAGUUCACCGCUGCGGACAUCUUUCAACACUCACCUUUCGGCGACAUCUUGAGUUUGCUAAGGUAUCUCUCGUUAUCAGGAGAGCCCUGGCCGGACUGCAGUCAAGAUGGUUGGGAUGCGGACGACGAAGAAAUUCAAAGCCCACCCACCACCCACUUAGUAGCCACUGUCGACGAUCUAACCAACAUGCUAGACUUUGACUCCGAAGACAUCGACGGUAUGGACGACGAUGCCGGAGACGACCAAGAACCAGCGCCUACUGGGCACUGGAAAGCCACCUCAUCAUAUGACAUAUACAUGGUGGAUAUCCCAAAGGAUGGGAAUGGCAAAGGAACAGUGGAGGAUGACCCCUCCAAGAAACAGCCCAAGCGCCGGUGUCAGCGACGCCGCUCUAAAUCCCACCAAAGCAAGAAUGGAGAUUCCGGCAUCGAAGAUAAUAACACCCUAGACAGUGCCGAAGACAACCCCCUCCAGCAAGAUUUAGCGCAGGAGGACGGAGAUGCCAGCCCUCAUGAGAAGGCAGCAGAAGAAGAAGUAGAGGAUUACAUGCCUCCCUCCGGAGACGAGGCAAGCCUCGACGACGACGAAUUCAUCGUGCCUGAGGAUCCCGUCGAACAAGAGCAUUUUAAAUGCAGGCUUAUGGCCACGGCAAACAGCCUCAAGAAAAAGCAGCAGCAGCUUAGAGCUGAUCAAGAUCUGCUAGCCGACAGAUGGACUGAAGUCCUUGCGGCCGAAGAGCAUGAGCUCGACCGCCCCUCCAAAAGCUACCCUAAACGCAAGCUGCUCCCCUGAUUAGAGGAGGAGGCAUAUGAACCUGCAUCACCAGCAGACAAUAUGGCUGACCGACCACCCCGUGGCCGCGACAGAGAGGCCUCUAGGCCCUCCACCAGAACCGUACCCCGGCAUCGCUCGAAAAGCACAAGGCCACAGGGGAAUGCUCCGGACUUGCGAGAUAUAUUGGAGGAUAAGGCAAGACAAUCAAGAUCGAUCUAUGGAUCGCGUGGGCACCCCAUGAUACGCGACGACAACCAUCGCGCCAGACACAGUAAGUCCGGCCGGGCCGAACAAAAUAUACAAAGCUCUUUUGAACUCCGUCGUGAUAUCGCCCAAUACAGAGGCGCCACACACCCACUAUGCUUCACAGAUGAAGUAAUGGAUCAUCAAAUCCCCAAAGGGUUUAAACCUGUGAACAUUGAAUCUUAUGAUGGCACAACAGACCCCGCGGUCUGGAUCGAGUACUAUCUCCUUCAUAUCCACAUGGCCCGCGGUGAUGAUCUCCAUGCCAUCAAAUAUCUCCCACUCAAGCUUAAAGGACCAGCCCGGCAUUGGCUUAACAGCUUGCCAGCAGAGUCAAUUGGGAGUUGGGAAGACCUGGAAGCCGCAUUCCUCGAUAACUUCCAAGGCACGUACGUGCGACCACCAGACGCUGACGACCUAAGCCACAUAAUUCAGCAGCCAGACGAAUCGGCCAGACAAUUCUGGACACGGUUCUUAACCAAGAAAAAUCAAAUCGUCGAUUGCCCGGAUGUGGAGGCCCUGGCGGCUUUCAAACAUAACAUCCGUGACGAGUGGCUUGCCCGGCACCUGGGACAGGAAAAGCAGAAAUCCAUGGCAGCCCUCACAUCACUCAUGACCCGCUUCUGCGCGGGCGAGGACAGCUAGCUAGCACGCAGCAACAACCUCAGUAAAAAUUCUGGCAGUCCGGAUAUCAAGGACCGCAAUGGCAGGCCACGUCGCAACAAAAACAAAUGCCGCAUUAACGGCGACAAUAGCGAGGAUACGGCAGUCAAUGCCGGAUUCAGAGGCUCUAAACCCGGCCAACGGAAAAAGGCAUUCAAAAGAACUACUCCGGGUCCGUCCAAUUUGGACCAAAUACUCGACCGCUCGUGCCAGAUACACGGCACCCCCGAAAAGCCAGCUAACCACACCAACAGGGACUGUUGGGUAUUCAAGCAGGCAGGCAAGUUAAUUGCCGAAAACAACGACAAGGGGCUGCAUAGCGAUGACAAGGAAGAGACCCGACCACCGAACAAUAGAGGACAGAAGGGUUUCCCCCCACAAGUGCGGAUGGUGAACAUGAUAUACGCAACCCACAUACCCAAAAGGGAGCGGAAGCGUGCACUCAGGGAUCUAUACGCGAUGGAGCCAGUUGCCCCGAAGUUCAAUCCAUGGUCCUCCUGCCCAAUCACUUUUGACCGAAGGGACCACCCCACCAGCAUCCGCCACGGCGGAUUUGCCGCCUUGGUUUUAGACCCAAUCGUGGAUGGUUUUCACCUCACCAGAUUCCUGAUGGACGGCGGCAGCAGCCUGAACCUGCUUUAUCAGGAUACAGUGUGCAAAAUGGGCAUAGACCCCUCACAGAUUAAACCUACAAAGACGACCUUUAAAGCAUCAUACCAGGUGUAGAGGCCAAUUGUACAGGCUCAGUUACACUGGAAGUGGUAUUCGGAUCCCUGGAUAACUUCCGAAGCAAAGAGUUAAUCUUCGGCAUAGUUCCGUUCCGCAGCGGCUAUCAUGCUCUGCUCGGACGCACCGCGUUUGCAAAAUUCAACGCGGUACUGCACUACGCAUACCUUAAGCUCAAGAUACCAGGCCCUCGAGGAGUCAUCACGGUCAACGGAAACACUGAACGCUCUCUCCGAACGGAGGAACAUAUAGCGGCUCUCGCGGCAGAAGUACAGUGCAGCCUCUUAAGGCAAUUCUCGAGUCCGGCCGUCAAGCGACCGGACAUGGCUAAACGCGCUCGGAGUAACCUACAACAAGACUACUUGGCACGUUCCGAGCACGCGUAGCAAUGCGGCCCCAACCCCAGCCCCUACAAAAUUUCAAGACAGGUCCUUCGCGUACAUCAUUACGCUCUGAAGAUACCAUGGGCAUAGGGGGAGGGGCACGACUACGAUAGGCCCAGAAUGCGGCUUAACCACACCAGGGGCUCUCAAGUGUGUCGUUCUUUUUUCUUUUCUUUUUUCUUUACCCACAGGACCCCGUUCAUCAGAGGCCCUGUCCGGCUGUAGACUUGCCGAACUCACGAUACAACAGCCGGGGAAGGAGAAAGGCUACGAUGAAUAUCCAGGUGGUCUCCAUUAUGAGCAUUAAAUCUGUUUUAUACACCAUUCCGCAGCCUACCCCUGGAGGGGGACAUGUUUAAUAGUCUCAGCCCUUGCUUAUUGCACCAUUUGUAUCGUUCUGCAUCCACAGCGGUAUUUCCUGAAUAAACAAUGCACCUUUUUGCUUACAAUUGCAUUCCUUUCUUAAUACAUAUGUUCAUUUAUGACAUGUUGCAUCCGUACACUUUGGUACGGCUAAAUACACCAGGGGCUUAUGUUUCCCACAUCAUGGUGCGAUAAGUCCGAACACUUUCACAAGUGCGGCACCCCAAACUUAUAGCAUUAUAUGCAUCGGCUCCGAAUCAUGUCUUGGGUCAAUAGUUGGGUUUGCCCGGCUCCCAUGUUUUGGUACCUUACGUUCCGUUGUAUCGGCUAAGGUAGCACUGGGAGAACCACUGUGAUUGCGCCCCAGUUGAGCUGGGCGAGCGCCUCAGUGGAGAAAGCUAAAACUGACCAUCAUGAUGAGGCGAGAGCCGGUCGCUGUUCGAGAGGUUUUUUCGAGUCCCUAAAGACUUAUGCCGCUUAGAGCGAGGAACCGGCUUUGUCCGGCCCAGGCGUGGAUAGCGCCCCAAAUUCGGCCUUCCGAACACUAGGGGCUUCGACGAAAUUUAAAAUUAUAGAAUUCUAUGGCUAAGUGAGAGUGUUCAAGCAUUAUAAGUCCGGUUGCCUUGUUCGUUGUGUUGAGCGCCUCCCUAGAUGGACCCAAAAAUGGGAACAAGAGCGCUCAAAUUUAUCCCGAACACCCCAGCACUCGUGGCAUGGGGGCCGAAGCCGACGACUUGCCAUCUCUCAGAUUUGAUAAACGGCCGCACAGAAGGUAAUAUUUUAAAUUAACAAGCAUUGCUUAGCGCAUAUGAACAAAGUUUUCAGCGCACAGGAUAACAAAAUGCGAGUCUACUCAAAUAUUACAUCUUUGGAGCACUCACCUGCAAUAGUGCGGCCACCCUUCAAAACAGUCUUAUAAUACAUCUCGGGAGUACGAUACUCCUUGCCCAGCGGUGGCGUGUCCGUCACAAGCUUCUCAGCAUCCAUCUUGCCCCAGUGCACCUUUGCGCGGGCAAGGGCCCGAUGGGCACCUUCAAUACAGGCGGAGUGCUUGAUGACUUCAACCCAUGGACACGCAUCCACCAGCCGCCGCACCAGGCCGAAGUAGCUCCCAGGCACGGCCUCCUUAGGCCACAGCCGAACUAUGAGGCCCCUCAUGGCCUGUUCGGCCACCUUGUGGAGCUCCACCAACUGCUUCAGCUGGUCGCUAAGGGGCACCGGAUGUCCGGGCUCAACAUACUGAGACCAAAAGACCUUCUCCGUUGAGCUCCCCUCCUCGGCCCGGUAGAAAGCGCCAGCAUCGGACACGCUGCAAGGAAGAUCUGUGAAUGCUCCUAGAGAGCUCCGAAUUCGGGUAAGUGAUAGGUAAUUCACACUCACAUGCUUACUUUGCAUGAAGAAUGCCUUACCCGCUGCUAUUUUCUUCAAUGCCUCGAUUUCUUGGAGGGCCUUGUAGGCUUCGGCCUUAGCAGCUUUGGCACUCUCAAGAGCCGAUGCAAGCUUGGACUCUCGAGUCUUCGAGUCACGCUCCAGGCUCUCAUGUUUUUCCACGAGAUCCUGGAGCUCUUGCUGUACCUCCGCCAGCCGCGCCUCCUGCUUCUCUCGCUCGGUGCGCUCCGCGGCCGCAUUACGUUCGGCCGCGGACACCGCCUGCUUCAGGGUCGCCACCUCGGUCGUGGCACCUGCAAUACCCACGUUAUCCUUGUCAAUUUCUUGCAACCAAAUCCUUUUCUAUAAGGUACAAUCUUAUUACGAUGUUAUUCACCUUCCUUGUCCUCGAGCUGCUUCUUGGCAUGGCCGAGCUCGUUCUCGGACCGCUCGAGGCUUUGCUUCAAAGCAUUGACCUCCACAGUCAGUGCGGCAGAGGUCAGCAGCACAGCCUGCAAUCCCAUAUUGACAUAUUUUUUAUAUAUGACUCCUGCGUAUAUCUUUUUAGAUCCUCAGUCCGGCUUUUCUUUCCGAAUACCGAACCGAGCAUCAGGGGCUACUGUCUAUGCGGUACUAUUCUACAUAUAUCAAAAUUCUUACCUCAAAGCCUGUUAGAAGGCUGCUGCAGGCUUCGGUCAGCCCGCUCUUGGCGAGCUGAACCUUCUGAAUCACUGCACUCAUGAAGGUGCGGUGUUCCUCUUUAAUGGAGGCGCCGUUGAGCGCCUCUAGCAAACUAUCCGGCGCCUCCGGUUGGACGGAGGCCGCCGGUGUCGCGGUCUUGCCCUUCUUACGAAGGGGCCGCCCGCCGGACUCCGGAGCCACUUCAGGUUCCGGUGCGGAGUCCGGCGCAAAGUCCGGGAGGUUGCCCUGCGGCACCUCCGGGGCCUCCCCCUCCUGGCGGGUCCCUUCCCAGGAUCCCACCUCGGCAUCGUCCGUAUCACAAGGGGUGGAGGCGGUUGGCAGGGAAUCCAUAUCCGACGCACCCAAGGACCCACUCGACGAAGCGGGAAAAUCAUCCUUGGGCAGACUGCAGGGUUGUAUGCGGCAUUAGAAAGACACUAUGUGGCGAAAAGAAAAAUCAUGAAGUUAUUCGGGAGUCUGGAUACUUACGAUCUCACCAGGGGCUUGGCCCUUGGAGGCCAAUCCUCGUCGUCAUCACUGGCGUUGGCGGAGCAGUCCGGGGGAACAGUCUUUCCCUUCUUGGAUCCUUCGGCCUCCCUCGUUGGGGAAGCCUUCCUUUUCUUCCCUCCCCCCGCCGGGGGAGAGGCCUUCUUAUUCUCCUCCUCGCCUUUGUGGGAGGAGUCUGCCUCGGAGUCAUCGUCCGAUGACACCUGAAAACGGGAACUCUUCCAAGUGCCCGUGGCCUUCUUCUUGGCCUUCUUCUCCGGCACCACGUGGGGUGCCGGAGCCAGCAGCCCCAUUAAGCGGGCGUCCACUGGGUCCUCUGGCAAUGGGGCCGGACAGAUAGUCUGUUCAGCCUUCUUCAGCCAGUCCUGUCAAAGGAGAGGGAGUUUAGAUCCCGCAUAGAGUCAAACUAUGGAAAACAAGUGUCCCGUAAAGGGCAAAAUCACUUACCUCGCUAACCGGGCGCUGCGAGCUGAAUCCGCGAUCUUCGGUAGCGGAUGCGGGGGCCUCGGCACCUUUAAACAGCACCUUCCAGACAUCUUCGUACAUGGUGUCGAAGAGCCCGCUCAAAGUCUGGUGCUGUGCCGGAUCGAACUCCCACAUACUGAAGCCCCGUCGUUGGCACGGGAGAAUCCGGUGGACAAGCAUGACCUGGACUAUGUUGACAAGCUUGAGCUUCUUGUUCCCCAGCUUUUUGAUGCAGGCUUGGAGCCCGGUCAGCUCCUCCGAAUCAGCCCAUGUCCGGCCGCUCUCUUUCCAGGAGGUGAGCCGUAUGGAGAUGCCAGAUCUGAAUUCGGGGGCCGCUGCCCAUUCAGGGUCACGCGGCUCGGUGAUGUAGAACCACCCCGAUUGCCACCCCUUAAUGGUUUCCACGAAAGUGCCCUCAAGCCAAGUAACGUUGAGCAUCUUGCCCACCAUGGCGCUUCCACACUCCGCUUGGCUGCCCUUUACCACCUUCGGCUUGAUACUGAAGGUCUUGAGCCACAAGCCGAAGUGGGGCUGGAUGCAGAGAAAUGCCUCGCACACGACGAUAAACGCCAAGAUAUUGAGGAUAAAAUUCGGGGCCAGAUCAUGGAAAUCCAGGUCGUAGUAGAACAUGAGCCCCCGGACAAAGGGAUGGAGUGGGAAGCCCAGUCCGCAGAGGAAAUGGGGAAGAAAUACUACCCUCCCGUGGGACCUGGGGGUGGGAAUGAGCUCUCCCUCGUCGGGGAGCCGGUGCGCGAUGUCGCUAGACAGAUAUCCAGCGCUGCGCAGCUUCUGGAUGUGCCCCUCCAUAACGGAGGAGGCCAUCCACUUGCCUCCCGCUCCGGACAUAGUUGGAGAAGGUUGAGGUGAGAUGUGCGGACUUGGGCGCUAGAGCUCGAGUUCACGGAGAUGGAUAAGCCGAGGAGGAAGAAGGUGCAGGUAAAAGGGUUGGAUCUUUAUCCCCUUAUAUGGGCGGACGGAAACACGCAUCCCCACCGGCCUGAUAAAACUCACUUAUCCCCCAAGCGCCGCAAUCAAUGGCGCGGUUGGGUUACCCACGUCCGUAUUGAUGGGAAUCCUGGAAUAAGGGGAACACGAUCUCUGCUUCGACAAGACGUGCCAAGGGAACCGCUUCGCUAAACACGCUGAGGUGGUACAAUAAAAACGAUUCGAGUAAAGGCUUGGUAGUGGUGUGACAUCACGCCACGAAAUACGUCAGCAGAUUGAACUUGUGUAAAUAUUAUUCUCUCUACAGUGGUAUGUGGAAUUUAUUUUGCAGAGCCGGACACUAUCCUGGUGUUCACAAUCUUAUAUAAAUUGUUCGGAGAAGGAACCCGCCUUGCAAUGCCGAAGACAACAUGCACGCCGGACUCAUCGUCAUUGAAGCCUGGUUCAGGGGCUACUGAGGGAGUCCUGGACUAGGGGGUGUCCAGAUAGCCGGACUAUCAUCAUCGGCCGGACUCCAAGACUAUGAAGAUACAAGAUUGAAGACUACGUCCCGUGUCCGGAUGGGACUUUCCUUGGUGUGGAAGGCAAGCUUGGCGACACAGAUAUGUAGAUCUCCUACCAUUGUAACCGACUCUGUGUAACCCUAGCCCUCUCCGGUGUCUAUAUAAACUAGAUGGCUUUAGUCCAUAGGACGAACAACAAUCAUACCAUAGGCUAGCUUCUAGGGUUUAUCCUCCUUGAUCUCGUGGUAGAUCUACUCUUGUAAUACCCACAUCAUCAAUAUCAAUCAAACAGGACGUAGGGUUUUACCUCCAUCAAGAGGGCCCGAACCUAGGUAAAACAUCGUGUCCCUUGUCUCCUAUUACCAUCCGCCUAGACGCAUAGUUCAGGACCCCCUACCCGAGAUCCGCCGGUUUUGACACCGACAGUUGGGUUCGAUGACUAUGAGGAUGAUGAUCGUAUGACUUGUUAUUAAUAACGAGUAGAAGUUGUAUGAUGAUGCAUGAUUAGUAGGACUUGUUAUUAUAUAUGAUGAUGUAUGAUGCGAGCAUGCAUGAGUUAUUAUAUAUUAGCGGGUGAAAUGAACAUAGCAGUAGCGUUGGUAAACCAAGGACGAAGAUAUAAGAGAGGACACUUCUCUCUAUUAGCUAGCUAAUAACAACCUAAAAUUAACCCCCAAAACCCCUAAACCAGCCACCUUUAAAAAAACUCAGCUCCAGCCAGCUGCUGACACGUGGAAGCCUUUUGGUCCCGGUUCAUGUCACCAAUCGGGACCAAAGGCCCCCUUGCCUGGGCUGCUCGCAGUGGCCACGUGGAGGCCCAUCUGUCCCGGUUCGUGUAAGAACCGGGACUAAAGGGGGGAGGCAUUAGUAACGACCUAUUAGUCCUGGUUCAAGAACCGGGACUAAAGGCCCUUACGAACCGGGACAAAUGCCCUGUUUUCUACUAGUGACUAAGGGAAUAAUGUAUGUUGACAUAGCGGUUUGACCGAUAAAGAUCUUCAUAGAAUAUGUGGGAACUAAUAUGAGCAUCCAGGUUCCGCUAUUGGUUAUUGACUAAAGAGGUGUCUCGGUCAUGUCUACAUAGUUCUCGAACCCGUAGGGUCCGCACGCUUAACGUUCGUUGAUGAUAUGUAUUAUAUGAGUUAUGUGUUUUGGUGACCGAAGAUUGUUCGGAGUCCCGGAUGAGAUCACAGACAUGACGAGGAGUAUCAAAAUAGUCGAGAGGUAAAGAUUGAUAUAUUGGACGAUAGUAUUCGGACACCGGAAUGGUUCCAGAGUGUUUCAGGUAUUUAUCAGACUACCGAGGGGUUACCGGAACCUCCCGGGGAAAAUAAUGGGCCAUAUGGGUAAUAGGGGAGAGGCAAGUCAGUCCACAAGGGGGUGGCGCCCCCCCCCCAUGGGGAGUCCGAAUUGGACAAGGGAAGGGGGCGCGGCCCCCUUUCCUUCUCCCUCUCCCUCUCCUUCCUCCUUUCCCUCUCCGAUAGAAGGAAGGGGGGUGAAUAGGACUAGGAGUCCAAGUGGGAUUCGUCCCUACUUGGCGCGCCCUAGGCUGGCCUCCUCCCCUCUCCCUCCUUUAUACACCGGGGGGCGCCCCUAGGAGACACAACAAUUGCUCUUAGCUGUGUGUGGUGCCCCCCUCCACAGUUUACGCCUCCGGUCAUAUUCUCGCGGUGCUUAGGCGAAGCCCUGCGCGAAUCACAUCACCACCGUCACCACGCCGUCGUGCUGAGGAUCUCAUCUACUCCUUCGAUCCUCUGCUGGAUCAAGAGCUCGAGGGACGUCAUCACGCUGAACAUGUGCAGAACUCAGAGGUGUCGUACAUUCGGUACUCGAUCGGUCGGAACGAGAAGACGUUCGACUACAUCAACCCGGUUGAGCAAACGCUUCCGCUUUCGGUCUACGAGGGUACGUGGACACACUCUCCCCCUCUCGUUGCUAUGCAUCUCCUAGAUAGAUCUUGCAUGAGCGUAGAUUUUUUUUGGAAAUUGCAUGCUACGUUCCCAACAGACAUCGCAACCAUCUUAAAAUGACAAAGAAAAAGCCUAGAAAAUCUUUUCUCGAAAGUCUUCCUACAAUUUAAAAAACUCUAAAAAAAUCUCAUCGUGACCAACUAGCAUGCGCCACAUGGUGUAGUUGGUUGGCCAUCAUUCUAGCGCCUCUUAAUAGGUCUAAUUGUUCCCCACGCUAGCUAGCUCCUGACAUUGUUAACUAGUUAAACCAUCUGAAAGGACAUGCGGUGCCCCCAUGUGUGGUUUUGGUAAUUGAUGACAUUCUCUAUGGACUAAUGGUUGCAUUGAGUUAUAUUUGAAGGAUUUGUCCAUAGGCUUUUCUUGAAGUCCAUGUGUUGGUUUCAAGGAGUUUAUGAGUUGACCAAGGUGCUAUUAAGGAAUUAUUCAAAGAUUGGUCAUGUGAGUGUUGAGCUAAUUGCAAGCAUGUCUUGAAGAAGAAGAUUGUGUGAUCAUUCAUGUCUACCUUCAAGACAUCAUCCAAAUGUAGAGAGUUGGAAAGAUUCAAGGUCGAUCAAGACUAAGUCAAGAGUGAAUCAAGUUGAUCAACAUACAAAGCAUACAAGAUGUACCGAGGGAUCAAGUGAUCCCGUCGUAUGGUAAGCAUUGUCCAUUACGCUUUGUGUACUAACCCAUGGUCUUCGUGAGAGUUCUAUGUGGGGUUAAGUUUGCUUCCAUGGUCUUGCGUCAAGAGGAAGAUCACAUACAACCCAUGGAGGAUGACAUCAAAUCAAGGUUGUGUUGUGCAAGUUCAAGUGGAGCAUCACAAAGAAAUCAUGCUUGUAGCUUGUCGUCGAUUGUGGUAUCAAUGGACUUGUGAAUAUGUGCCAAAGAGUGGCUCACCCAUAGUGGAGUAUGGGGGAGCAAUCAACUAAUCUUCAUCGAGCGAACGCAGUCAAGAAAGGUGGUCCAACUUGAGGGAGUCAAGAUCGUCAUCAUCUAGCUCAAGUGGACUUCGUACAAGGCAAAGGUUUGCCCUUGAUAGGUAUUAUAUUUUACCGGUCUCAUAGUGAUAGUUUGGAGACCAGGUUAUAGGAUCGAUAGCCAUACUAUCAAGGGGGGCUCUCAAGUGAGUAGCUUGAUCGCAUCGUUCAUCGAGAGCGCAAACCAUUGCAUCCUUGCAUCAUCUUUCUUGAUUCUUAUUUGUAUUUUAUUUUGAGGUUUUAGAGCUUGUGGUUAUCUUCAUGGCAAGCUCUGGUACUUCGAAAACGGAUUUCAUAUGCCUCUUCUAUUGUGUUUUCAGUGUUGGAGGUUUUAUCGGUCUUAUUCGAGGAAGGGUUCUCACCAUUUUAUCUUGGGACUUUUAUAAUUCCCUUCUUAUUGUUAUUUCUAUCAAGAUUGUGUUAGCCCUUGUUUCUAGCUUUCCAACAAACUUGGUUUCAUCGAAUUCGGAGUCCAUUUGUAGAAGUUGUGGUAGUUUUGGUGUUCUGAAAAGGCUGCAGCGGUACUACCGCAGAUUGGAGCGGAUGUAAUUUUUUACUACCGCUCUAGAGCAGUACUACCGCGGAUUCUAUAGCGGUAGUACCGCUCCGGACCAAAAACUCGUCACAAGUCCAUCGGUGGUAGGCAUAAUUGUAUUUUUUUGUACUGCUCGCAAGCAGUAGUACCGCUACCCUUUGCGGUAGUACCGCUAUCCCUAGCGGUAGUACCGUGAGGACGAGCGGUAGUACCGCUCCGGCGGUUCUACUGGCCUUUUGCCUCCUUGCUGUUGUUUUUCAAAGGGCUACUACCGCCCUAGUAGUAGUACCGCUCCUUGGAGUGGUAGUACCGCUCUGUGCGGGGUGUUAGGAUAAUGGUUGGAUUUUUUCCCACCUAUAAAAGGGGGUCUUCUUCCCCAAUGGACCUCAUCUAUUUAGCUCGUGUUCUUCCCCCAUUGUUGACCGUCUUCGAGCUUGCUAACUCUCAAUCCCUCCAAGGAUUCUUGCUAGUUCUUGAGGGGAAAGAGAGAGGAGAUCUGGAUCCACGUCUUCACCAAUCACUUUCUCCUCUAAUUGAGGGGAACCCCUUGGAUCUAGAUCUUGGAGUUCCUCGUGUUCUUCUUUCAUUCUUCCUCUCAUUUUCCUCCCUACCAUUAGUUGCUUUGCUGGGAGUUGGGAGAGAAGGACUUGGGCACUCUGUGUGCCCUUGCCAUUGCAUUUCGUGCAUCAGUUUGAAUUCUCCACGGUGAUAUGUGGAAGUGAAGUUUGAGAAGCUUAUUACUCUUGGGUGUUUGGGCACCCUAGAGCUUGUUCCUCUUGGGUGCCUUGGCGCCCUAGACGGCUGGUGUUGUUCGGAGCUCAAUCAUUGUGGUGUAAAGCUCCGGGGUCUCCAAUUGGGUUGUGGAGAUUGCCCUGAGCAAUUUGACGGGUAUCGGUGACCGCCCCCAAGGGUUGCCAAAGUGUAUGGGUUCGGUGACCACCCCCAAGGGUUGCCAUUUGUAUGGGUUUGGUGACCGCCCUCAAGGGUCCCUUAGUGGAAUCACAGCAUCUUACAUUGUGCGAGGGCGUGAGGAGAUUACGGUGGCCCUAGUGGCUUCUUGGGGAGCAUUGUGCCUCAACACCGCUCCAAACAGAGAUUAGCAUCCGCAAGGGUGUGAACUUCGGGAUACAUCGUCGUCUCCACGUGCCUCGGUUAUCUCUUACCCGAGCUCUUUACUUAUGCACUUUACUUUGUGAUAGCCAUACUGUUUCUUGUCAUAUAUCUUACUAUCACUUAGUUGUUUAUCUUGCUUAGCAUAAGUUGUUGGUGCACAUAGGUGAGCCUAGUUGUUGUAGGUUUUGUGCUUGACAAAUUAACCAUUAGGUUUAUUCCAGAUUUGUUCAAGCCUAAACCAUAAUUAUUUUAAAAGCGCCUAUUCACCCCCCUCUAGGCGACAUCCAGGAUCUUUAAAUUGGUAUCAGAGCCUCGUCUCCCUUUAUUAGGCUUUACCGCCUAGAGAGUAAAUAUGUCGACUAGGGGAUUAGGAUUCUCUAACACUCUUAGUUUCGAUGGCACAAAUUUUGAUGUUUGGGUAAUUCGCAUGCUUAAUCUCCUUAGGGUCAUGGACCCAAAUUUAGAGAGAACUGUAGAUAUGAGUUUUUCUCCUCCAAAGGAUCCCCAAAGAUUAUCUUUAGAGGAUGAGAAAAACUCUUAUCUCAAUGCUCAAGCUUCUAAUGUGCUUUUCGAUACUUUGAGCAAUGUAGUUAUAUUUCGACUCAUGUCGUUCCGGGAUGCUCAUGAAUUGUGGACGAAGCUUCAAGAUAAAUAUGGUGUGUCCAAGAUUUGUGGGGAUGAUUGUUCUCCCUCCACCUCCGGUCAUAUAGUCUUCUCAACUUCUUCUACUUCACCUACAUGUGGUUUGCCACAAGGUAAUGAUAUGGUGAGUAGUGUUGGUCAUUGCAAUGAUGAUAGUAUGCUUAUUAUGGAUGAUCCUUCAUCACUAUCUUAUUGCAAUGCUCCUUCUUUGGGCUUUAACACUUCGAUUACUCCAAAUGUUUCACAUGCUUGUGUUGAUAGUCCUUGCAUAUCAUGUAGAAAUUGCUUAACUAAAUCUCAUGAUGAUAUGCUUGCUAUGUCUUGUUGCCAUGAUAAAAAUGCAUCUAUUUCCUCGAAUUGUUGUGCUUACAAUGUAGAGGAAAUCGAACACUCCAUGGAACAAGAUGUGGUUUUUAAUGGUGCUUCAAGGGAUCCUACAUCAUCAUCUAUUGCGUUUUCCCUUAUGGCCAAGGCUUCAAAGGUAUCUCCUACCUUGAACCCCAAUAUGUCUCUUGAUGAUGAUGUUGAUGCUAAUGAUGAUGAGGAUAAUGAUCAAGAGAAUGAUACUGUUGUCUCCUUAAAAACUAAGGGGGAAAUGAUUGUUAAAGCUCUUCAUAAAAAUAAAAUUGCUCGUUCCAACUUCAUGGAAAUAAUGUCCAUUGCCAUUGAAGGCAAGAAAUACAUUAAGGAGUUGGAAUCUCAUCUAGAGGAGCAUGAGGUCACCAUUGAGAAAAUGGAAGCUCGUGAGUGUGAUUACACAAAUGAGAUCGCGGAGCUAUCUCAAGCAAUUGAAAAUGAACGAACCACCUCUGAAUCUCUUAAGGAGACUUUUGCUCUAGAAUUAUCUAGAGUGAGGGAAUCUCAUGAUAGAGCUCUUGAGGUGGCUAAUGAUUUCAAAACUAAAAAUGCUAAGCUUGAAGUUGCUCAUGCUAGACUCCUUGAGGACUUUGAGCACCUUGAAAAUGGCUCUAGGGUCAUUAAGAGUGAGCUCAUCGAACUCAGCGAGUCUCAUGCUCAACUUAAAUCUUAUUAUUUAAAAGAGCUUGCGAAGUUGUCCUAUCCUAUUGUUUUAAAUGAUUAUGCUUGUUCUACUAACUCUAUUACUUGUGAAGCAUCCAUUUUGAAGGAGAAUGUUGAGCUACGGGCUCAACUUGAGGUGCUAUCUAGCAAUUAUGGGAAAUUGGAAGAAAGUCAUGAAAAGCUCUCAAGCUCUCAUGAUGAUCUUCUAGUAUCCCAUAAUGUGCUAAAGAUAGCUCAUGAGUCCAUGAUUGCUAAGGUAACAUCUAGUGAGCUUCAUGUGGAUACUAGCACUACUUCUAGUCAAAAUACUAUAUUGCCAUGUGAUAGUCCCUGUAAUUCAUCUACUCAUAAUGUUGGUACAUCUUGUGAUGAAUUGCUUUCCUUGCCUUGUUGCUCUAACUAUGAAGCUUAUACUUCCUAUAGUACUUGUGUUGAGACUAACCAUGUAGAGGAAAUCACAGAGCUCAAGGCCCAAGUCACUUCUUCGAAGAAAGACUUGGAAAAGAGUCAUGAAGGGAAAUCCACACUCAACAAUAUCUUGAGUGUGCAAAAAUCCCCCAAUUACAAAGGUGGACUUGGAUUCAACUCCAAUAAGAAGAAUAAGUCCAAGAUGAACAAAAAGAAGGGCCAAGAACAAGUCAAGAAUUUGUCCAAGAUUGUUUGCCUCAAGUGAAAAGUAGAAGGGCAUCAUGUUAGAUCUUGCCCAUUGAAGAAGAAGCCAAUUAGUGACAAGCAACAAGGGAAGUGGCCAAAAGUUCACUCUCAUGCUCAACCUCAAGUUGAAGAAAGGUCUCUUCCCAAGAAAACUCAAGCUAAUGCUUCUCAAGUUGAGAAAUCAAGUGAAAAGAAAGUGUAGAGUAGACGUUGCUACCUAUGUCGUGAGAAAGGUCACCUCGCUUCUUCAUGCACUAGUGGUAACUUAUCCAACCAAAUUAUUAUUGAUGAUAUCUAUUCUCUUAGGAAGGAUAAGGUUGGCAAUGUGUUUGCCAAGUUUGUUGGUACUCAAAGUGUUGUCAAGAAAAGAACCAUUUGGGUAGCCAAGCCUAUUGUGACUAAGCUCUUAGGACCCAACUUGGUUGGGGACCACCAAGCUAAAACUUGAUCAAUAGGUGUUAUUGGAGGGCUUUGGAGACUUGGCUACAUUAUGAAGAAUUAAGUGGACUUCAUCAUUCUUAUUGUCUCAAGCCAAGUCAAUUGGAUUAUCAAGUUUCUAACUUAUAUCCAAUGUGCCUCCUUGUGGUAACUUGUGCUUAAAUUGUUUACAUUGAAAUUUACUUUCCCCUUUGCAUGUGUUUGUAUAUGUUGUGCUUCCAACUUGAUUAUCUUGAGCAAUCAAGUAUGUGUGUGUUGGUUUGCACAUCAUGUAUGUGUGUGUCGUGCGUUGAGCCUUUAUGCUUCUUGUUUGUAUCCUAGUUGGCUCGUGUGAGAGAUUAAUGGAACAUCCCAUUUUGGGGGAGUGAUGUGCUUUGGGCACCUCAAAAUCCUAUAAAUGUGUGUACAUGAGGAAUACCAUCUAGUAUUGAUAUUACAAGAUUAUCUAGUGGCUAGGUGGUAUAUCUCUCAUGAGAAAUUCAAAUUAUAAAAAUUCCAUUGAUUAUCUCUUGUUGGAUCCUCUUAUUGCCUCUUGUUAAGUUUUCUUUCGUAUCACAUUAUGGGGGAGUAAUAUGCUAUGUGCAUAUUACAAGCCUAGAAAAUAUGUACAUUUGAGAUAUUGUCACUUAUUAAUUAUCUUGUUCCUAGGUGACAUGUUAGCUCUACAUGUUGCAAUUUGCUUGUGUUUGUUGUGAAGAUGAUGUUGGAUAUCCUUGUUAUCUACCACCGGGAAUUAUUUCCAAAUACUUCUUGUCUUUUGACAAUUGGUACUCACUUAUGUGUGGUAGAAUUUAUUGAUCAUCUUUACAUUGGUUUUUAUUUUUAUUUGCCUUAUCUCUUGCCAAGGAUUGUGUCAACUCCCGUUGUCUUCCAUACCACUUGUGGAUCUUGUUAAUUUCUUGUUCUUAUCUAGUGUUUUCUAGAUACAGUGAAAGUGGUGAUCCCAACUUGUGCAUUUUGUAUUCAAAUGCAAAUUCUCUAUAAUGCACAACUCAUGGGGGAGCUAUCCUAUUUUCUUUAGAACACUCUUCUUGUGAUCUUUAUCAAGUGUCUUUUGGUGGAAGGCAAGCCAUUCUUUUUGGUACUUGUGCCAUCAUGAAACUUUGUAGAGGGCAUGGUUUGUUUGGAACCAUCCUCUCUUUAGGGAGUUCGAUAUCCUUCUUUUUACGUGUUUUAAUGGAUAUAUCAUUCCUUGAUGUAUCUUUAAUGAUAUCUUCCAAGUGAUAAUUUCUCCAUUUGGUAUCCUUUUUCACUUGGCAUUUCUUUUUCAUUUGGUAUCAGUUCUUGAAAGUGUUGAGCAUGCAUAUUUUCAUGUAUUUUCUUGGGCAUGCUUUCUUUCUUUGACCCAAUAUAUAAGGGAAACUCUACCAAGUCUCAAAUUGGAUGAGAUGUGCAUGAAAUUCAUUUUCAUGUCUAUAUGCACAUAUUUAUGUGGAGUUUGUCCUAUGUAUUGGUGUUUCUAACUAUUUGGUCCCAAUGAGUUUGGGUACCGUUUAGUUUGUGUGGUUCUUCUAGGAACAUUUGGAGAUGCAUUGGAUGCUCGGUUCACUCACAAGGAAGGUGUUGUCACCAUGUGCUUAUUGGAGUCAAGCUAGGAUGAUCAAUGAACUACUAUCUACCUUCAAUUGUUAUCUACUACAUCCUUCCAAUGGUAUCUCGGUAACAAGUAUCAUCAUCUACUUCAUGCACACAUUUCUUGCAUCAACCUUGUGUAGGUUGUAUCAUGGCAUGUAAUUCAUUCUUUCUUGUGAUACUUGUUUCCUUUCUCCAAGCAUCCCAACAAUGAUCUCUUGUUGCUAGUUGUGAUGUCUUUGAUGCUCGUGUGGUUGGAACUCAUUUAUAUACAAUAAGACCAUAUCUAGCCAUGUGCUAUGCCUUCAAGGAAAUAUCUUAUUGGUAUAUUUAUGACUUCCAUGUGGAUAUCUUAUUCCUUCCUUUUUGUAACUAUUUCGUGUGUGCAUCCUUCUUUGUGGAUUGAUAUCAUCAUGAUCUUCAUCUACCUAGAAUCUUAUACACUUGAGAGAAGUUACAUCUGUAGUUGAUAUCCUUAUUCUUUCAUGCCCACCUUUCCUUGGUGGUUAUGUGAAAGGAUUUAUCUUGAGUGUGGAUCUUAUAUCUUGUUGCUUCUUGAUGCACUCUUGUUUGGUGAAGAUUAUUUUCCUCAUGCUUGUCUUUACGAGGCUUUUGCCAUCUUAAUUGGUACCCCUCGUCUUGAUAAGGCUUUCUUUUUCUUUCUUCACCAUGGGUUGUCACAAGUGUUGGUUUUUCAUUUUGAAUUUUUAGUGUGCUUGUGAACCCAUUCGCUUGUUGUGUGUGCGUGUAUGGGAAGGACAUGUCUUGCACCUUGUAUCUCAUUUAUCCAAGACUAUGUUAAUGCUUAAUGCUCAUCCUUAUAUUAGUCUUCUCAAGAGCUUUGCCAUGACUCACACACAUCUUUUUGGUUGAGUCUACUCUUAAGUUGCCUCUUUUACAUGUUGUUCAACCAUGUGUUUGUUGCAAGUGCUAGGCUUUGUUUCCUAUAUGCUAACUUGCACUUGUUGUAAGUUUCUAUUGAUUUUGGGGGAGCUAUGAUCCUAUUUUGUGCACUUUGUAUCCAAAUACAAAUAUUCUUAUGUGUGCACAAAUCAUGGAGAGCUUCUCUAGUUUCUUUAGAACACUCCUUUGCUUAUAUCAUAAUAUAUUUUUCAUGUAGCUCAUAGGAGCAUUGGUCUUGUUAGUUCAAUUUGUAUCUUUUGAUAGCUUGUUUCAAUUGGUAUCUUUUGAUUGCCUGAUUGCUUGUUUCUCUCUUUGUUAUGUCUUUGUGGCAUAUCAUUCUUUAGCAAUCUUUAAGCCUCAAUAUAUUUUGUCUUCCUCCAAGUAUUUACCUUUGGAUAUGUGUAGUGCAUUCCACUCUCUUAUUGAGAAAUACACAAUUUAUGGAGGAACACAAUUUAUAUUGGCCUUCUAAGCUUUUCGCCAAUUUUGGCAAUCGAUGCCAAUGAGGGAGAAGUUUUAGAGAGUUUUACGGAAAAGUUUACAGAGGCAUCUCUUCUUGCGUUGGUUUUGUUCCUAAGCUGUUGCAUCUCAUAUGCAUGCAUCAUUGGUUGUUGCAUUGCAUGUUGAUGCAUAAUUCCUUAUAUAAACUCUCUUGAAAGUGAUUGUCAUCGAUUACCAAAAUGGGGGAGAUUGAAAGGACAUGCGGUGCCCCCAUGUGUGGUUUUGGUAAUUGAUGACAUUCUCUAUGGACUAAUGGUUGCAUUGAGUUAUAUUUGAAGGAUUUGUCCAUAGGCUUUUCUUGAAGUCCAUGUGUUUGUUUCAAGGAGUUUAUGAGUUGACCAAGGUGCUAUUAAGGAAUUAUUCAAAGAUUGGUCAUGUGAUUGUUGAGCUUAUUGCAAGCAUGUCUUCAAGAAGAAGAUUGUGUGAUCAUUCAUGUCUACCUUCAAGACAUCAUCCAAAUGUAGAGAGUUGGAAAGAUUCAAGGUCGAUCAAGACUAAGUCAAGAGUGAAUCAAGUUGAUCAACAUACAGAGCGUACAAGAUGUACCGAGGGAUCAAGUGAUCCCAUCGUAUGGUAAGCAUUGUCCAUUACGCUUUGUGUACUAACCCAUGGUCUUCGUGAGAGUUCUAUGUGGCAUUAGGUUUGCUUCCAUGGGCUUGCGUCAAGAGGAAGAUCACAUACAACCCAUGGAGGAUGACAUCAAAUCAAGGUUGUGUUGUGCAAGUUCAAGUGGAGCAUCACGAAGAAAUCAUGCUUGUAGCUUGCUAUCCAUUAUGGUAUCAAUGGACUUGUGAAGAUGUGCCAAAGAGUGGCUCAUCCAUAGUGGAAUAUCGGGGAGCAAUCAACUAGUCUUCAUUGAGCGAACACAGUCAAGAAAGGUGGUCCAACUUGAGGGAGUCAAGAUCGUCAUCAUCUAGCUCAAGUGGACUUCGUGCAAGGCAAUGGUUUGCCCUUCAUAGGUUUUACAUUUUACCGGUCUCACGGUGAUAGUUUGGAGACCGGGUUGUAGGAUCGAUAGCCGUACUAUCAAGGGGGGCUCUCAAGUGAGUAGCUUGAUCGUAUCGUUCGUCGAGAGCUCAAACCAUUGCAUCCUUGCAUCAUCUUUCUUGAUUCUUAUUUGUAUUUUCUUUUGAGGUUUUAGAGCUUGUAGUUAUCUUCAUGACAAGCUCUAGUACUUCGAAAAUGGAUUUCAUAUGCCUCUUCUAUUGCGUUUUCGGUGUUGGAGGUUUCACCAAUCUUAUUCGAGGAAGGGUUCCCACCAUUUUCUCUUGGGACUUUUCUAAGUUCAUUUUUAUUGUGAUUUCUAUCAAGUUUGUGUUGGCCCUUGUUGCUAGCUUUCCAAAAAACUUGGUUUAUGAUAACCCACAAGUAUAGGGGAUCAAUUGUAACCUCUUUCGAUAAGUAAGAGUGUCGAACCCAACGAGGAGCUAAAGGCAGAACAAAUAUUCCCUCAAGUUUUAUCGACCGCCACUACAACUCUACGCACGCUUAACGUCCGCUUUACCUAAAACAAGUAUGAAACUAGAAGGACUUUGUAGGUGUUGUUGGAUAGAAUUUCAAGAUAAUAAAAGGCAUGUAAAUAAAAAGUAUGGGCUGUUUAGAUAAAGAAGCAAUAAAGUAAAUAUAGCGACUGUGGAAAAGUGAUGGUAGGAGUUGUGAAAUUGUCCCUAAGCAAUUGACUACUUUACUAGACCGAUAGCAAGUUUUAUGUGGGAGAGGCAUACACUAACAUACUUUCUCUUCUUGGAUCAUAUGCACUUAUGAUUGGAACUCUAGCAAGCAUCCACAACUACUAAAUAUCAUUAAGGUAAAACCCAACCAUAGCAUUAAAGCAUCAAGUCUUCUUUAUCCCAUACGCCACAACCCCCUUACUCGGGUUUAUGCUUCUAUCACUCAAGCAACCCAAUAUAAGCGAAUCAUGAAUGUAUUGCAACACCCCACAACGGGAAUCCCUCGCGCUUGCGCAACACGGAGGGCACAAUAGUACAGCAACAUAACCACAAGCAAAUUAAACCAAUCAUAGCAAUUCAUCAAUCACCGAUAGGACAACAAAAAUCUACUCAGACAUCAUAGGAUGGCAACACAACAUUGGAUAAUAAUAUGAAGCAUAAAGCACCAUGUUCAAAAGUAGAGGGUACAACUGGUUGCGGGAGAGUGGACCGCUGAAUAUAGAAGGGGGAAGGUGAUGGAGAUGUUGGUGAAGAUGACGGCGGUGUUGGUGUAGAUCACGGUGAUGAUGAUGGCCCCCCGUGGCGUUCCGGCGCUACCGGAAGCGAGGGGGAGAGAGCCCCCCUUCUUCUUCUUCUUCCUUGACCUUCUCCCUAGAUGUUGGUGAAGAAACAAUUUGUAUAGAAAGACAGUGCAAAAAGUUUCAGAACUGUUUGACAUUCCAGUAAAAAAUGUAAAAUCGCUCACUAUAGACAAAGUUUUUGUCUUGCACCGCACAAACCUACAAGCAAUCUAAAAAUCCUAAAGGCAAACCUUGGCACAUUAGUUUUAUAAUACAAUGGAAUUGUACAAGGGGAUAAUUAUUUUUGAUGAAAAAUUUCUAUAAUAAAGAUUCACAAAGUUUCUGUGAGCAUGAACAAAGUUCAAGGAGCUCCCCCACUUCAACAAUGCUUGUCUUUCUCACUUUCACUCUACUUUAUGAAAUUUUUUGGGUUACCCUCUUUAUUUUUUUAUUUUUAAACUUUAUGACAACACUUAACAGAAAUAAAUGACUCUCUAAAACUCCCGGGUUGUCUCCCUGGCAUCACUUUCUUUAAAGCCAUUAAGCUAGGCAUAUAGUGCUCAAGUAAUGGAUCCACCCAGAUCCCAAGGUAUAUCGAAGCCAAUUUCAAUUAACAAUGAUUUGGCAUUUACUAGUGAGCACAAAGCAACAUAUAUCAUGUAAUGAUGAAGUCUAACUCUCUUCCUAUGCAUAGGCAUGUCAUUAAAUAACAAUUCAUGCACACCAAGUAAAGGCCAAUGCAUAGUAUAAGCAGUUUCUUGCAAUUUUAUCAUAUUGGAAACAUAGAGAGGUGGAGAUAUAGUUCCCCUCUCAUAAUAAUCGCAAGUAGGAGCAGCAAGCACACGCAUAUUAUAUCUAUCAAAAUCAUCAUGUGCAACGGUAAAAUGCAACCCAUCAAUAUAAUCCUUGAUAAGCACAAACUUCUACGAUGUAGUGUAGUUUGGAGAAUUCAAAAAGAUAAUAGGACUAUCAUGCGUGGGUGCAAUAGAAAUAAUUUCAUGUUUAACAUAAGGAACUAUAGCAAGUUCAUCUCCAUAAGAAUCAUUCAUAUUGGCAUCUUGGCCAGAAGCAUAGCAAGCAUCAUCAAAAAGGGAUAUUUCAAACGAAUUAAAGGGAUCAUAGCAAUUAUCAUAGAAAUCAUCCUUCGGUAAGCACGAAGGGAAAUUAAAUAGUGUAUGAGUUGAAGAGCUACUCUCAUUAGAAGGUGGGCACAGGUAGCUAAUCCGCUCUUCCUCCUUUUGUUCUUGGCUCUCCUCAUCAUCUUUUUCAUCCAAUGAGCUCAUAGUUUCAUCAAUUUCUUCUUCCAUAGACUCCUGCAAAAUAUUAAUCUCUUCUUGGACAGCGGAGACUUCCUCAAUAAAUGCAUCAAUAACGGAAUUGUAUUCAUAAUUCUCAUAACAAUAUUUAAGUAUAGUAAAUUUUUUAGGUCUGUAAACAUCAUCAUCAAGAUUUUCACACUCUUUAAACAAAGAUUCAAUUUCAUAAGCACCCAUAAAAGCAACGAAUUCUUCUAUUUGUUUCACAUCAUAGUAAUCAUAUAUACCAUUAGCAUAAGAAGCUAAGGUUUCAUUAUCAUUAAAUUUGCAUGAAAAGGGAAGGUGUGGAGCCUUCAUCCUAGAGCAACAAGUAUAAUCAUAUAUCAAGCAUAGUUGACGAGCAUACCAAUGCAACAUAUGAAUUUGAUCCCAUAAUAGUUUCCCUUUUUGUGUCAAGCAAUAAUACCUAAAGUAUUCACGAUGAUCUAACGUGUCUCCCAUAACAUAAUUGAAUGGGGUUUUCUCAGGAUUAUCAAAGUAGUACAUAAUAUUUUUCACAUAACCAGCAUCGAGGAUUUUAGGAGGUUCCCCAUCUCCAUGAGUAGCAAGUACACCUAUUUUUUUGGUAUUUCGUGUUCCAUAUCCAUAACUAAAGAUAGAGAACAACUUAGAACAACAAAUAAAAAUUAGUUAGUGAUAAAGCAAACAAGCACACACGAGCAUAUUCACCCCAUGCUAUGACUCCCCGGCAACAGUGCCAGAAAAAGGUCUUGAUAACCCACAAGUAUAGGGGAUCAAUUGUAGACUCUUUCGUAAGUAAGAGUGUCAAACCCAAUGAGGAGCUAAAGGCAGAACAAAUAUUCCCCCAAGUUCUAUCGACCGCCGAUACAACUCUACGCACGCUUAACGUUUGCUUUACCUAAAACAAGUAUGAAACUAGAAGGACUUUGUAGGUGUUGUUGGAUAGAAUUGCAAGACAAUAAAAGGCACGUAAAUAAAAAGUAGCGGCUGUUUAGAUAAAGAAGCAAUAAAGUAAAUAUAGCGAGUGUGGAAAAGUGGUGGUAGGAGUUGUUAAAUUGUCCCUAAGCAAUUGACCACUUUACUAGACCGAUAGCAAGUUUUAUGUGGGAGAGGCAUAAGCUAACACACUUUCUCUUCUUGGAUCAUAUGCCCUUAUGAUUGGAACUCUAGCAACCAUCCGCAACUACUAAAGAUCAUUAAGGUAAAACCCAACCAUAUCAAGUCCUCUUUAUCCCAUACGCCACAACCCCCUUACUCGGGUUUAUGCUUCUGUCACUCAAGCAACCCACUAUAAGAGAAUCAUGAACGUAUUGCAACACCCUACAGCGGAAUCCCUCACGCUUGCACUACACAGAGGGCACAAUAAGACAGCAACAUAACCACAAGCAAAUUAAACCAAUCAUAGCAAUUCAUCAAGGGUCAUUUGCAUUUCUGCCCCUAACUCGAACCACCUACUCAGAUUUCCCCCUAAUUUCAAAGCAUGCUCAAAUUUGCCCCUCUGCCGUUAAGUCACUACUCAGAAAUGCCCUUCCGUCUAGUCAAAGGCCUUUGACCGUCAAAGGUCCAUGUGUACUGUAGCAGACGGAAAGUGCUACAGUAUUGGACGGAAAGUGCUACAGUACUGUGUGGAAGGGCAUUUCUGAGUAGUGACUUAACGGCGGAGGGGCAAAUUUGAGCAUGCUUCAAAAUUAGGGGCCAAUCUGAGUAGUGGGUUCAAGUUAGGGGCACAGAUGUAAAUGUCCCAUUCAUCAAUCACCGAUAGGACAACAAAAAUCUACUCAGACAUCAUAGGAUGGCAACACAUCAUUGGAUAAUAAUAUGAAGCAUAAAGCACCAUGUUCAAGUAGAGGGUACAACUAGUUGAGGGAGAGUGGACCGCUGAAUAUAGAAGGGGGAAGGUGAUGGAGAUGUUGGUGAAGAUGACGACGGUGUUGGUGUAGAUCACGGUGAUGAUGAUGGCCCCCGACGGUGUUCCGGCGGCACCGGAAGUGAGGGGGAGAGAGCCCUCCUUCUUAUUGUUCUUACUUGACCUUCUCCCUAGAUGGGAGAAGGGUCUCCCCUAUGGCCCUUGGUCUCCAUGGCAUGGGAGGGGCAAGAGCCCCUCCGAGAUUGGAUAUGUCUCUCUGUCUCUCUCUAUUUCUGCGCUCCCAGAUUCUGCCCUUUCACCGUUUCUUAUAUUCUCGGAGAUCCGUAAAUCCGAUUGGAUUGAAACCUUCGCCAAGAUUUUUUUUCCAAAAAUUAGCUUUCUUGCGGACAAAGAAGAGUAGCAACCGCCUUACGGAGUGCCCACGAGGGUCAGGGGCGCGCCCCCCUACCUCGUGGCCCCCUCAGGCACUGUCUCAUGUUGAUUCUUCUUCCCAAAUAUCAUGAAUAUUCCAAAAAUAUUUUCCAUCCAUUUUUAUCCCAUUUGGACUCCGUUUGAUAUGGGGUUUCUGUGAAACAUAAAACAUGGAACAAACAGGAACUGGCACAGGGCACUGGAUCAAUAUGUUAGUCCCAAAAAUAAUAUAAAAAGUUGCCAAAAGUAUAUGAAAGUUGUAGAAUAUUGGCAUGAAACAAUCAAAAAUUAUAGAUACGACGGAGACGUAUCAGUUUCAUCGAAUUCGGAGUCUGUUUGCAGAAGUUGUGGCAGUUUUGGUGUUCUGAAAAGGUUGCAGCGGUACUACCGCGGAUUGGAGCGGAUGUAAUUUUUUACUACCUCUCCAGAGCAGUACUACCGCGGCUUCUACAACGGUAGUACCGCUCCGGACCAAAAACUCGUCACAAGUCCAUCGGUGGUACGCACGAUUGUAUAUAUUUAGUACCACUCGCAAGCAGUAGUACCGCUACCCUUUGUGGUAGUACCGCUAUCCCUACUGGUAGUACCGUGAGGACGAGCGAUAGUACCGCUCCGGCGGUUUUACUGGCAUUUUGCCUCCUCGCUGUUGUUUUUCAAAGGGCUACUACCGCCCUAGCAGUAGUAUCGCUCCUUGGAGCGGUAGUACCGCUCUGUGCAGGCUGUGAGGAUAACGGUUGGAUUUUUCCCCACCUAUAAAAGGGGGUCUUCUUCCGCAAUGGACCUCAUCUCUUUAGCUCGUGUUCUUCCCCCAUUGUUGACCUUCUUCGAGCUUGCUAACUCUCAAUCCCUCCAAUGAUUCUUUCUAGUUCUUGAGGGAAAAGAGAGAGGAGAUCUAGAUCCACGUACCCACCAAUCACUUUCUCCUCUAAGUGAGGGGAACCCCUUGGAUCUAGAUCUUGGAGUUCCUCCCUGGCAUUAGUUGCUUUGGUGGGAUUUGCGAGAGAAGGACUUGGGCACUCCGUGUGCCCUUGCCAUUGCAUUUCGUGCAUCGGUUUGAGUUCUCCACGGUGAUACAUGGAAGUGAAGUUUGAGAAGCUUAUUACUCUUGGGUGUUUGGGCACCCUAGAUCUUGUUCCUCUGGGGUGCCUUUGCGCCCUAGACGGUUAGUGUUGUUCGGAGCUCAAUCAUUGUGGUGUAAAGCCCCGGGCAAGCGUCGGGGUCUCCAAUUAGGUUGUGGAGAUCGCCCCGAGCAAUUUGACAGGUACCAGUGACCGCCCCAAGGGUUGCAUUUGUUGGAAAUAUGCCCUAGAGGCAAUAAUAAAUGGUUAUUAUUAUAUUUCCUUAUUCAUGAUAAUUGUCUAUUGUUCAUGCUAUAAUUGUAUUGACUGGAAACUGUAAUACAUGUGUGAAUACAUAGACCACAACAUGUCCCUAGCGAGCCUCUAGUUGAUUAGCUCGUUGAUCAACAUAUGGUUAUGGUUUCCUGAACAUGGGCAUUGGAUGUCAUUGAUAAUGGGAUCACAUCAUUAGGAGAAUGAUGUGAUGGACAAGACCCAAUCCUAAGCAUAGCACAAGAUCGUGUAGUUCGUUUGCUAAAGCUUUUCUAAUGUCAAGUAUCAUUUCCUUAGACCAUGAGAUUGUGUAACUCCCGGAUACCGUAGGAAUGCUUUGGGUGUACCAAACAUCACAACGUAACUGGGUGGCUAUAAAGGUACACUACAGGCAUCUCUGAAAGUGUCUGUUGGGUUGGCACGAAUCGAGACUGGGAUUUGUCACUCCGUAUGACGGAGAGGUAUCUCUGGGCCCACUCGGUAACGCAUCAUCAUAAUGAGCUCAAUGUGACUAAGUAGUUAGUCACGCGAUCAUGCAUUACGGAACGAGUAAAGUGACUUGCCGGUAACGAGAUUGAAUGAGGUAAUGGGAUACCAACGAUCGAAUCUCGGGCAAGUAACGUACCGAUUGACAAAGGGAAUUGUAUACGGGAUUACUUGAAUCCUCGACAUCGUGGUUCAUCCGAUGAGAUCAUCGUGGAACAUGUGGGAGUCAACAUUGGUAUCUAGAUCCCGCUGUUAGUUAUUGGUCGGAGAGCUGUCUCAGUCAUGUCUACAUGCCUCCCGAACUCAUAGGGUCUGCACACUAAAGGUUCGAUGACGCUAGGGUUAUAGGGAAAGUUUGUAUGUGGUUACCUAACGUUGUUUCGGAGUCCCGGAUGAGAUCCCGGAUGUCAUGAGGAGUUCCGGAAUGGUCCGGAGGUGAAGAUUUAUAUAUGGGAAGUCAUCGUACGGUCACCGGAAGUAUUUGGGGGUUUGCCGGUAUUGUACCGGGUCCACCGAAGGGGUUACGGGGGUCCACCGGGAGGGUCCACCUGCCCCGGAGGGCUCUAUGGGCUGUAUGUGGAAGGAAUCAGCCCCUAAGUGGGCUGGGCGACACCCCCCCUAGGGCCCAUGCGCCUAGGGUUGGGGGAAACCCUAAAGGGGGCGCCCCCUUGGCUUGGGGGGCAAGCCCCCUCCCCUUGGCCGCCGCCCCCCCUCUAGAUCUCAUCUAAUGGGGCCGGGCCCCUUCCCCCUUCUCCCUAUGAAUAGAGGGGAGGAGGGAGGGCAGCUGCACCUCAUCCAAGGCGCAGCCCUCCCCCUCUCCAACAGCCCUCCUCCUCCGUUUGAGCUUGGCGAAGCCCUGCCGGAGAACCGCUGGUCCACCACCACCACGCCAUCGUGCUGCUACUGGAGUUGUCCUCCCAAACCUCUCCCUCCUCCUUGCUGGAUCAAGGCGCGAGAGACAUCACCAGGCUGCACGUGUGUUAAAUGCAGAGGCACCGUUGUUCGGCGCUUAGAUCGGAAUUAACCGCGAUCUGAAUCGCUACGAGUACGACUCCUUCAUCCGCGUUCUUGCAACGCUUCCAUGUUGGGAUCUUCAAGGGUAUGAAGAUGCACUCCCCUCUCUCUCGUUGCUAGUCUCUCCAUAGAUUGAUCUUAGUGAUGUGUAGAAAUUUUUAAAUUUCUGCAACGAUCCCGAAGAGUGGCAUCAUGACCUAGGUCUAUGCAUAGUUUCUAUGCACGAGUAGAACACAAGUUGUUGUGGGCGUUGAUUUUGUCAAUUUACUUGCCGUUACUAGUCUUAUCCUUAUUUGGUGGCAUCGUGGGAUGAAGCGGCCCGGACCGACAUUACACGUACGCUUACUUGAGACAGGUUCCACCAACUGACAUGCACUGGUUGCAUAAGGUGGCUAGCGGGUGUCUGUCUCUCCCACUUUAGUCGGACGGGAUUCGAUGAAAAGGGUCCUUAUGAAGGGUAAAUAGCAAUUGGCAUAUCACAUUGUGGUUUUGGCAUAGGUAAGAAACGUUCUUGCUGGAAACCUAUAGCAGCCACGUAAAAAACUUGCAACAAUAAUUAGAGGACAUCUAACUUGUUCUUGCAGCAUAUGUCGUGUGAUGUGAUAUGGCCAAAAGGAUGUGAUGAAUGAUAUAUGUGAUGUAUGAGAUUGAUCAUCUUCUUGUAAUAGGAAUCACGACUUGCAUGUCGAUGAGUAUGACAACCGGCAGGAGCCAUAGGAGUUGUCUUAAUUUAUUGUAUGACCUGCAUGUCAAUGAAAACGCCAUGUAAUUACUUUACUUUAUUGCUAACCGUUAGCCAUAGUAGUAGAAGUAACAGUUGAUGAUACAACUUCAUGAAGACACGAUGAUGGAGAUAAUGAUGAUGGAGAUCAUGGUAUCAUGCCGGUGACGAUGAUGAUUAUGGCGCCCCGAAGAUGGAGAUCAAAAGGAGCAAAAUGAUAUUGGCCAUAUCAUGUCACUAUUUGAUUGCAUGUAAUGUUUAUCAUCUUUUACAUCUUAUUUGCUUAGAACGACAGUAGCAUAAAUAAGAUGAUCCCUCUUAAAAUUUCAAGAAAGUGUUCCCCCUAACUGUGCACCGUUGCGAAAAUUCGUUGUUUCGAAGCACGACGUGAUGAUCGGGUGUGAUAGAUUCUAACGUUCGCAUACAACGGGUGUAAGCCAGAUUUACACAUGCAAAACACUUAGGUUGACUUGACGAGCCUAGCAUGUACAGACAUGGCCUCGGAACACAAGAGACGGAAAGUUCGAACAUGAGUCGUAUAGUAGAUACGAUCAACAUGAAGAUGUUCACUGAUGAUGACUAGUCCGUCUCACGUGAUGAUCGGACACGACCUAGUUGACUCAGAUCAUGUAUCACUUAGAUGACUAGAGGGAUGUCUAUCUGAGUGGGAGUUCAUUAAAUAAUUUGAUUGGAUGAACUUAAUUAUCAUGAACUUAGUCUAACAUCUUUGCAAUAUGUCUUGUAGAUCAAAUGACCCACGCUAACGUUGCCCUCAACUUCAACGCGUUCCUAGAGAAAACCAAGCUGAAAGACGAUGGUAGCAACUAUACGGACUGGGUCCGAAACUUGAGGAUCAUCUUCAUAGCUGCCAAGAAAUCAUAUGUCCUAGAUGCACCGCUAGGUGAAGCACCUGUUUUCCCAGCAACUCAAGACGUUAUGAACGCCUGGCAGUCGCGUAGUGAUGAUUACUCCCUGGUUUAGUGCGGCAUGCUUUACCGCUUAGAGUCGGGGCUUCAAAAGAGUUUUGAGCAGCACGGAGCAUAUGAGAUGUUCCAAGAGCUGAAAAUGGUUUUCCAAGCUCAUGCCCGGGUCGAGAGAUAUGAAGUCUCCGACAAGUUCUACAGUUGUAAGAUGGAGGAGAAUGGUUCUGUCAGUGAGCACAUACUCAAAAUGUCUGGGUUGCACAACCGCUUGUCUCAGCUGGGAGUUAAUCUCCCGGAUGACGCGGUCGUUGACAGAAUCCUUCAGUCGCUUCCACCUAGCUACAAGAGCUUUGUGAUGAAUUUCAAUAUGCAGGGGAUGGUGAAAACCAUUCCUGAGGUAUAUUCAAUGCUGAAAUCAGAGGAGGUGGAGAUCAAAAAGGAACAUCAAGUGUUGAUGGUCAAUAAAACCACUAGUUUCAAAAGGGGCCAGGGUAAGAAGAACUUUAAGAAGGACAACAAGGGAGUUGCCACGCCCGGUAAGCCAGUUGCCGGGAAGAAGCCAAAGCAUGGACCCAAACCUGAGACUGGGUGCUUUUAUUGCAAGGGAAACGGUCACUGGAAGCGGAACUGCCCCAAGUACUUAGCGGACAAGAAGGCCGACAACACCAAAGGUAUAUGUGAUAUACAUGUUAUUGAUGUGUACCUUACCAGUACUCGUAGUAGCUCCUGGGUAUUUGAUACCGGUGCGGUUGCUCAUAUUUGUAACUCAAAAUAGGAGCUGCGGGAUAACCGGAGACUGGCGAAGGACGAGGUGACGAUGCGUGUCGGGAAUGGUUCUAAGGUUGAUGUGAUCGCCGUCGGCACGCUGCCUCUACAUUUACCUACGGGAUUAGUUUUAAACCUCAAUACUUGUUAUUUAGUGCCAGCUUUGAGCAUGAACAUUGUAUCUGGAUCUUGUUUAAUGUGAGAUGGCUACUCAUUUAAAUCCGAGAAUGAUGGUUGUUCUAUUUAUUUGAGAGAUAUGUUUUAUGGUCAUGCCCCGCUGGUCAAUGGUUUAUUAUUAUUGAAUCUCGAACAUGAUGUUACACAUAUUCAUAGUGUGAGUACCAAAAGAUGUAAGGUUAAUAAUGAUAGUCCCACAUACUUGUGGCACUGCCGCCUUGGUCACAUUGGUGUCAAACGCAUGAAGAAGCUCCAUGCAGAUGGACUUUUGGAGUCUCUUGAUUAUGAAUUAUUUGACACAUGCGAACCAUGCCUCAUGGGCAAGAUGACCAAGACUCCGUUCUCCGGAACAAUGGAGUGAGCAACCAACUUGUUGGAAAUCAUACAUACUGAUGUGUGCGGUCCAAUAAGUGGUGAGGCUCGCGGUGGCUAUCAUUAUGUUCUCACCCUCACUGAUGACUUGAGUAGAUAUGUGUAUGUCUACUUAAUGAAACACAAGUCUGAGACCUUUGAAAAGUUCAAGGAAUUUCAGAGUGAGGUCGAGAAUCAACGUGACAGGAAAAUAAAGUUCUUACGAUCAGAUCGUGGGGGAGAAUAUUUGAGUCACGAAUUUUUUACGCACUUAAGGAAAUGUGGAAUUGUUUCACAACUCACGCCGCCUGGAACAUCUCAGCGUAAUGGUGUGUCCGAACAUCGUAAUUGCACUCUAUUGGAUAUGGUGCGAUCUAUGAUGUCUCUUACCGAUUUAUCGCUAUCAUUUUGGGGAUACGCUUUAGAGAAAACCACAUUCACUUUAAAUGGGGCACCAUCUAAAUCCGUUGAGACGACACCCUAUGAAUUAUGGUUUGGAAAGAAACCUAAGCUGUCGUUUCUAAAAGUUUGGGGAUGCAAUGCUUAUGUCAAGAAACUUCAACCUGAAAAGCUCGAACCCAAGUCGGAAAAAUGCGUCUUCAUAGGAUACCCUAAGGAAACCAUUGGGUAUACCUUCUACCUCAGAUCCGAAGGCAAGAUCUUUGUUGCCAAGAAUGGGUCCUUUCUGGAGAAAGAGUUUCUCUCGAAAGAAGUAAGUGGGAGGAAAGUAGAACUUGAUGAAGUGCUACCUCUUGAACCGGAAAGUAGUGCAGCUCAGGAAACUAUUUCUGUCGUGCCUACACCGACUAGAGGCAAAGUUAAUGAUGAUGAUCAAGGCACUUCGGAUCAAGUUGCUACUGAACUUCGUAGGUCCACAAGGACACGUUCCACACCAGAAUGGUAUGGCAACCCUGUCCUGGAAAUCAUGCUGUUAGACAACGGUGAACCUUCGAACUAUGAAGAAGUGAUGGCGGAUCCAGAUUCCAACAAAUGGCUUGAAGCCAUGCAAUCCGAGAUAGUAUCCAUGUAUGAAAAUAAAGUAUGGACUUUGACAGACUUUCCCGAUGAUCAACGAGCGAUAGAAAAUAAAUGGAUCUUUAAGAAGAAGACGGACGCGAAUGGUAAUGUUACCAUCUAUAAGGCUCGGCUUAUCGCUAAGGGUUAUCGACAAGUUCAAGGGGUUCACUACGAUGAGACCUUCUCCCCCGUAGCAAAGCUGAAGUCCGUCCGAAUCAUGUUAGCAAUUGCAGCAUUCUAUGAUUAUGAGAUAUGGCAAAUGGACGUCAAAACAACAUUCCUUAACGGCAUCCUUAAGGAAGAAUUGUAUAUGAUGCAGCCGGAAGGUUUUGUCGAUCCUAAGAAUGCUAACAAGGUAUGCAAGCUCCAGCGCUCCAUCUAUGGGCUGGUGCAAGCAUCUCGGAGUUGGAACAUUCGCUUUAAUGAAAUGAUCAAAGCGUUUGGGUUUAUGCAGACCUAUGGAGAAGCAUGCGUUUACAAGAAAGUGAGUGGGAGCGUUGUAGCAUUUCUCAUAUUAUAUGGGGAUGACAUACUAUUGAUGGGAAAUGAUAUAGAACUAUUGGAAAGCAUAAAGGCCUACUUGAAUAAGUGUUUUUCUAUGAAGGACCUUGAAGAAGCUGCUUACAUAUUAGACAUCAAGAUCUAUGAGAUAGAUCGAGAUGCCUCAUAGGUCUUUCACAAAGCACAUACCUUGAUAAGAUAUUGAAGAAGUUCAAUAUGGAUUAGUCCAAGAAGGGGUUCUUGCCUGUUUUGCAAGGUGUGAGAUUGAGCACGGCUCAAAGCCUGACCACAGUAGAAGAUAGAGAAAAGAUGUCAUCCCCUAUGCCUCAGCCAUAGGGUCUAUUAUGUAUGCCAUGUUGUGUACCAGACCUGAUGUAAACCUUGCCGUAAGUUUGGUAGGGAGAUACCAAAGUAAUCCAGGCAUGGAACACUAGACAGCGGUCAAGAAUAUCCUGAAGUACCUGAAAAGGACUAAUGAUAUGUUUCUCAUUUAUGGAGGUGACGAAGAGCUCAUCGUAAAGGGUUACGUCGAUGCUAGCUUCGACACAGAUCUGGAUGACUCCAAGUCACAAACCGGAUACGUGUAUAUUUUGAAUGGUGGGGCGGUCAGCUGGUGCAGUUGCAAGCAAAGAGUCGUGGCAGGAUCUACAUGUGAAGCAGAGUACAUGGCAGCCUCGGAGGCAGCACAUGAAGCAAUCUCGAUGAAGGAGUUCAUUACCGACCUAGGAGUUAUUCCCAAUACGUCGGGCCCAAUGACUCUCUUCUGUGACAACACUGGAGCUAUUUCCCUUGCCAAGGAGCUCAGGUUUCACAAGAAGACCAGGCAUAUCAAGCGUCGCUUCAAUUCCAUUCGUGAAAAUGUUCAAGAUGGAGACAUAGAUAUAUGUAAAGUGCAUACGGAUCUAAAUGUCACAGAUCCAUUGACUAAACCUCUUCCACGAGCAAAACAUGAUCAACACCAGAACUCUAUGGGUGUUCGAUUCAUCAUAAUGUAACUAGAUUAUUGACUCUAGUGCAAGUGGGAGACUGUUGGAAAUAUGCCCUAGAGGCAAUAAUAAAUGGUUAUUAUUAUAUUUCCUUAUUCAUGAUAAUUGUCUAUUGUUCAUGCUAUAAUUGUAUUGACCGGAAACCGUAAUACAUGUGUGAAUACAUAGACCACAACAUGUCCCUAGUGAGCCUCUAGUUGACUAGCUUGUUAAUCAACAGAUGGUUAUGGUUUCCUGACCAUGGGCAUUGGAUGUUAUUGAUAACGGGAUCACAUCAUUAGGAGAAUGAUGUGAUGGACAUGACCCAAUCCUAAGCAUAGCACAAGAUCGUGUAGUUCGUUUGCUAAAGCUUUUAUAAUGUCAAGUAUCAUUUCCUUAGACCAUGAGAUUGUGUAACUCCGGGAUACCGUAGGAAUGCUUUGGGUGUACCAAACGUCACAUCGUAACUGGGUGGCUAUAAAGGUACACUACAGGCAUCUCUGAAAGUGUCUGUUGGGUUGGCACGAAUAGAGACUGGGAUUUGUCACUCCAUAUGACGGAGAGGUAUCUCUGGGCCCACUCGGUAAUGCAUCAUCAUAAUGAGCUCAAUGUGACUAAGUAGUUAGUCACGGGAUCAUGCAUUACGGAACGAGUAAAGUGACUUGCCGGUAACGAGAUUGAACGAGGUAUUGGGAUACCGAUGAUCGAAUCUCGGCAAGUAACGUACCGAUUGACAAAGGGAACUGUAUACGAGAUUACUUGAAUCCUCGACAUCGUGGCUCAUCCGAUGAGAUCAUCAUGGAACAUGUGGGAGUCAACAUGGGUAUCCAGAUCCCGCUGUUGGUUAUUGGCCGGAGAGCUGUCUCGGUCAUGUCUACAUGCCUCUCGAACCCGUAGGGUCUGCACACUUAAGGUUUGAUGAUGCUAGGGUUAUAGGGAAAGUUUGUAUGUCGGUACCGAAUGUUGUUCGGAUCCCGGAUGAGAUCCCGGACAUCACGAGGAGUUCUGGAAUGGUCCGAAGGUGAAGAUUUAUAUAUGGAAAGUCAUCAUACGGUCACCGGAAGUAUUCGGGGGUUUGCCGGUAUUGUACCAGGUCCACUGAAGGGGUUCCGGGGGUCCACCGGGAGGGUCCACCUGCCCUGGAGGGCUCUAUGGGAUGUAUGUGGAAGGGAACCAACCCCUAAGUGGGCUGGGCGCCACCCCCUAGGGCCCAUGCGCCUAGGGUUGGAGGAAACCCUCAAGGGGGCNNNNNNNNNNNNNNNNNNNNNNNNNNNNNNNNNNNNNNNNNNNNNNNNNNNNNNNNNNNNNNNNNNNNNNNNNNNNNNNNNNNNNNNNNNNNNNNNNNNNNNNNNNNNNNNNNNNNNNNNNNNNNNNNNNNNNNNNNNNNNNNNNNNNNNNNNNNNNNNNNNNNNNNNNNNNNNNNNNNNNNNNNNNNNNNNNNNNNNNNNNNNNNNNNNNNNNNNNNNNNNNNNNNNNNNNNNNNNNNNNNNNNNNNNNNNNNNNNNNNNNNNNNNNNNNNNNNNNNNNNNNNNNNNNNNNCUGCCGGAGAACCGCUGCUCCACCACCACCACACCCUCGUGCUGCUGCUGGAGUUGUCCUCCCAAACCUCUCCCUCCUCCUUGCUAGAUCAAGGCACGGGAGACGUCACCGGGCUGCACGUGUGUUGAACGCGGAGGCACCGUUGUUCGGCGCUUAGAUCAGAAUUAACCGCGAUCUGAAUCGCUAUGAGUACGACUCCUUCAUCCGCGUUCUUGUAACGCUUCCGUGUCACGAUCUUCAAGGGUAUGAAGAUGCACUCCCCUCUCUCUCGUUGCUAGUCUCUCCAUAGAUUGAUCUUGGUGAUGCGUAGAAUUUUUUUAAUUUCUGCAACGAUCCCUAUUAGCCAAAGUGUUUGGGUUCGGUGACCGCCCACAAGGGUUACCAUUUGUAUGGGUUCGGUGACCGCCCUCAAGGGUCCCUUAGUGGAAUCACGACAUCUUGCAUUGUGCGAGGGCGUGAGGAGAUUACGGUGGCCCUAGUGGCUUCUUGGGGAGCAUUGUGCCUCCACACUGCUCCAAACGAAGAUUAGCAUCCGCAAGGGUGUGAACUUCUGGAUACAUCGUCGUCUCCGCGUGCCUCGGUUAUCUCUUACCUGAGCCUUUUAUUUAUGCACUUUACUUUGUCAUAGCCAUAUUGUUUCUUGUCAUAUAUCUUGCUAUCUCUUAGUUGUUUAUCUUGCUUAGCAUAAGUUGUUGGUGCACAUAGGUGAACCUAGUUGUUGUAGGUUUUGUGCUUGACAAAUUAACCAUUAGAUUUAUUCCGCAUUUGUUCAAGCCUAAACCGUAAUUAUUUUAAAAGUGCCUAUUCACCCCCCCCCCUCUAGGCGACAUCCACGAUAUUUCACCAUUUGUAAAUGUGGCAUAUAUCUCGGGAGCGUCAGACCUGAAACAAGCGCAAUCUGGCUAUGAGUAGUAACUCCAUAGAGCCAACAAGAAAAAUCUCUCUUGUAGGGUGGGCUUCAGAACUUCAGAUGUUUAAGCCAUCUCUAACGCAGACCCUAGACCGCCGCGACCAUCUGGUCCGAGCGGUUCGGGCUCGAUUUGCCAUCCAACACGGCACCUUGACAGUCUGCGGAGUGGUCUGAAUGUCCAUUUUGCCGUCAACCAAAGGCAAAACAGGGGCUUUGCGGGCAUCUAGACCACUGUCAUACACGCGUCCGCCACUUCGGUCCCACCCAAAAGUCCUCCCAUCCAAAAAACUCUCUUUGCGCAAAGUGGUUGCCGCGCAUUCAUCCCGGUCAACGCCGUUCUAGAGCGAACCUGACUUCACGGCAUUGAUCCUAGUCAAAGCCACGCGACUAGACGAGCGGGCGACACCGUUUCAAUGCACACACGGCGAUAGAGAAACCUACUCCGACCGUUGCGCCGCAUUGAAGUCGACUUCCUGUCCCUUUCCGUAGCCGCCACACUGAAUAAGCCGUGCUCCGACAUCAUCCCCCUUGCACCUCUCUGAACUCCUCCUCUCUGCUCCCAGCCGCCUCUAUGCUCCAAACCACUUCGUUUCCGACCAUAGACCAUGCCCAAGUCGUGGUUCUCUGCACCUAGGGAUGUAACCGGAUCGGGAUCGGAAAAUGCUUUCCCCAUAUCCUUUACCAUUUUUUUGUCGGGUUCAGAGCGGAGCGGAUAAUGACUGUAUGCAGAUUCGAAUGCGGAUUUUAUCAGACUACGGAUUCGGCGCGGAAAUGGAACGCACUCAGAUAAAAAAUGGCGCAAAUAUCAGUUCAUGCGUGCAAUGAAACAUGAUUUUAUUUCUACUAUUUAAACAACAUGAACACAAAUUUAUAUCCAACGAAUAGCACUAGGGAGUCAAUAAGAAUUUAAAGUAACUAGUAAAUCCAUAUGUGUAAUGCAUGUUGAUAUUAGACAGUAUAUUAAUUACAUGCAAAUAUUAGGUAGGAUAUCAUUUACGUAGUAAUUAUGUGAUUAGCACUGCAAUUGAUAUUUGAUAUGACAUUAAUUGCACGUUAAAUGUGUCUAGCGCUCGCCAUUCGAGCAAACUGGAUCAUUCGAUUGAGCUGAUUUGAUGACCGAGAUUUGUUAGAUCUGCCUCUUUGGUAUUUUAAUAUUGGUUAGAUAAAUUCACGACAAUAAGAAAACAAGUUAUAUUCAAUAGUUUUAAUUAGUGAGUUAAUUGGAUAUUUAGGCUUGAUGAUUGGGCUAAUUUAUCUAAUAAUCCUAUUUGAUAACCUCGGAUAACCCAUAAAAAGAUACAGGAUAAUUCACAUCUGCCAUGUACUAUCAAUACCAUAUCCACCGGAUAUCUGCUUGGCCAAAAUCCAUAUCUGCAUCCAUAUCCGUCGGAUUCGUGCAAGUAUAUACCAUAUCCUUAGAAAUGGAUGCGAAUGUGGACUCGGAACGGAAAUUAUCCGUACCACCCGCAGGCAGCGCCCGACUUCGGUUCUCUUUCGAAUCUUGGUGCCACCGCCGUCGCUCUCCGAAGACCUCAAACUCCACGGUUGCCGGCUCCUCCAACAAGAAGAUCAUCAUCUACAUCGGCAAUGAGGAGAAUUAGAUGUCGUAGCAGCCGCGCCUCCGUCAGAUGCCGCGACCACGGACGACGAGUUCUUGCGGCAAAGUCAGCUACUAACCAGCACGCGUGAAGGACGAGCCGCCCUUGCCGCCAUAAUACCGCGUGAAGAAGGAGCCGACGGAGCCGCCUACGCGUGAAGGCGGAGCCGCAGCCACCCCUCCACAAACCGCGACAUCCAAAUUCGACGCCGCUUCAAGGACGAGCCACCAUCGUUUUCACACCCAUAUCGACUAGUGGGCGGCGUCUUUGCGCCGCGCCUGGCUUUGGCAAUCUCAUCAAGGAGGAGGUGCCGCCAGUGAUUGUGAAGGUGCACGACCGCCUCUUCCACUACCUCAGUGGCCAUCGCGACGGCUACUCCUCGCGUCGUGGACCAUCGGGUCGACCGAGGACAGGACGGCGUGGCAGGAGUGACGCGCUGCUUAGCAUUCGCCAAGUCCGACGAGGCGCCGAACUUGGUCCAUGAGCAUCGCAACCACGCGAAGGCCUGUGUCCGCGAUCGGUCGCUCACAAUCGCAGAGACGGCCGCAGUUGCUUUGACGGGAAGUUCGCCGAUUGGCGAAGAAUGGUCGCUCAGGGACACCCUCGCUACUGGUACCAAGGGCAAGGCUGCCAGGGCACCUCGGACACGGUCGACACACGGCCCUCCGCACGACGUAGGUGGAAACAGAGUGGCUCUUCCGCUAGCGCCAAGCGGAGACCAGGCAAGACUGUCUGCCGCCUCCACUCUUCCGCUGCUGGAAGGACAACUACUAUGACAACAUCGACGAUACUGACAGUGACGUUAGUGCGGCUGGCCUGGGUAGCCACGCGUACGAGGUCACCGUUCGCUUUAAUCUAUUUUUUUAGUUUUAGUUAAACGGACGAAAUAUCAUCUCAUUUAUGUUAUUUAUGUCCGAACUUUAGUGAAUCCCACCGCGUUUGAUGAAAUUCGUUUGGUUUGUUCAAAUUUGUUUUAAAAUGGAUAUGUGCAUGGUUGGAUGGUCAGCUUCCACAUUACUAUCCGGACCAGUCUGCAGAUAAAUAGUGUAUCCGAUUUGGACUUCAGCCCCUUAUUCAUCUAUGACCUGUGAGCCACGCAAAGCACCGCUGGUAAAGAAGAUCAACAUAUAUAUUUUUUGCUCUUUUUGGGUAGUAAAAUGAGUACCACUGACGUAAAGUAUACUGCCAAUCAAGAUCAGUAAAUUGAGUACCAUUGACGUAAAGUAUACUACCAAUGAAGUUAAGAUGAUCUCUGACAUUGAGCUAAUAGAAACACUUUUAUCAGACAAGUUGACUAUGCAUUUAACGCCACGCACAUGCCCGUCAACGUUGCGCGUCGAUCGAAUGCUAAACAUUGUACUCCGGACACACUCUGAGGUUUGCCAUGGACUAAAUUAGCUGCACCGUGCCGUUGAACAUCUAGAUCGAGAAGCAGAAAUUAAUGGUCCGGACACAGCGAUACACGACGCAGGAAUAUUUUUUGGGUACUAAGUGUGGCUCAUUACAUUUUGUCACUUGUCGUAAUUUGUGAGUUUGUUUUGUGGAUUUGUUUUUUAAACAUUUUAUCUCUUGAAUCAUACAUUCAAAUCAUGAAUUAUUUUCAUCGUUGGAUUUUCCGCGUCAAGUUCCUAUAAAAUAUUCUCAUGUUAAUAUAUUUCAAGAACCUUUUUCAUGAAAAAAAACAAUAAAAAAACAAAAACCGGUAAAAGGGAAACCAACAGAGGUGAAAAGCCUAAAAACCUAAGAAUAAAACCGGAAAGUACAGGAAACAAGGGGAAAAUGGGAACCAAAAAAAGAGAGGAGAAAAGCCAAAAAGCUGAAAACCAAAAAAGACAAAAAGACAAAAAACAGGGAAAAACUACUGGAUUUUUUGUCUGUUUGGGCCUAGCCCAAUAGUAGUUUCAGAAAUUCCUAAUAAAUCCUAGAGGCCCACGCAGCCCAUUCAUGCAAGACAAGAGGUGGAACUAAAGUUUAGUCUCACAUUGCUAGUUUAGAGGGAGUUGGACCUCUUUAUAAGGGAGGCUCUUUCCCCACUUGUAUGAGCAUGAGAACAAGAGAGACAUCCACACGUGCUCCUCCUCCGCCACCCGCCGCGCCGCGCUGCGGGUUGCGGGAAUGAGCCGAUGCCUACAUUUUUGCCACGCACUAGGGGUAUACGAAAGGUCACACAUAAGCUGAAUUUUUUUGCGAUAGUGGAGUUUGAAUGCGAACGGUGCAGCCCUUCGGCUGCUGGCUGUUCGCUUCGUCUUCGUCUCUUCGUUUCACCUUCCCUCGCUGCCCUCUCGCCUCCUUUUCUUGCGCCUAUAAAAGGGAGGUCGCUCAUCUCAGAGAGACGCACCAGAACUUCUCCUUCCUCUCGCCACCGGUUCCAAUCUCUGCGCUGUUGCUGUCUUCCUCAUCCCGGCUUGCGUCGUGCACCGCGAGUCGGGACAGUAGGCCUCCUUCCCCGACGACGACUACUUCCCCGACGUCGACAACCUCCUCGACGACAUGGAGGACACCAACCCCAAGUCCAGUGCCUCUGCUCCAGCUGUUCUCCAGUAUGUGUUCUUGUUUUUCCUGUUAGAGGUCCUGCCACAGUUCUUUCUUCUAGUGUUUACCCUACACAUGUUAGGAUCUACCUCAUUUAUGCAAAUGUUAUUUACCUUCACUUUGUCAAAUUGCAUGACUUGUUUUAUCACUUCUAUACUAGUUAUGUUUUAUCUAGUAUUUCUGUUAAUAAAAUCAUUCGGUAAAUUGCUCAUAUUCCCAACAAUCUAAAAAACUUAUGAUAGGCAAUUUACCUCGAAUGGUUUUGCUGCUUCCAUGAGACCUCCUAUGUUUGAGGGUAUUCACUAUAAGAGGUGGCGCGUGAGAGCAGUCUUAUGGUUUCAAACCAUGAGUUGCUAUGACGCCACUCUUGGUAGACCUGAAGGAGAACUUGAUGCUCAACAGGCACAAUCUUUUCAGAAAAUGGAUACUUUGUUUAAGGCUUGAGUGUUCUCAGUGAGAACAUAGUUGAUGCUUAUGCGUCAAUUGAUAAUGGAAAAGAUAUGUGGGAUGCACUCGAGGCCAAGUUUGGGGUCUCGGAUGCUAGCACUGAGCUGUACAUCAUGGAGCAAUUCUAUGACUAUAGGAUGACUGAAGAGUGCUCCGUGGUUGAGCAAUCUCAUGAGAUGCAGUCGUUUGCUAGAGAACUUGAGCACUUCAAUUGUAUCCUACCAGAUAAGUUUGUUGCCGGGGGUAUCAUCACUAAGCUUCCUCCUUCGUGGAGGAACUUUGCUACCUUACUGAAGCAUAAGAGACAGGAGUUUUCCAUCCCGGAUCUCAUUGGUACUCUUGAUGUGGAAGAAAAGGCGAGAGCAAAGGACACACGUGCUCGAGGUAUUGAGGGAGGAUCUAGUGCCAAUCUGGUACAGAAGAAAAACUUCCAGUCCCACAAGUUCAAGAACAAGGAAAAGCUUGAUGGUAAAGCAAAGUUUGAUGGGAAGAACAAGGCUGUACAACACACGAACUUCAAGAAGAAGAGGGACAAGAAGAAAGGUGCUUGUCAUGUGUGUGGAGAUCCUGAUCAUUGGGCUCCUAGUUGUCCUAAUCGCUAUGACAAGCGUCAUCCUGGGAAAGGCGGCAAGACCGCUAAUGUUGUCAUCGGAGACAUUGACAUGAAGGAUGCUGGGUAUGGUAUAUUUCCCACUAUUCUUUCAGUAUGUCAUUCUCCUGAUUGGUUGAUUGACACGGGUGCUAAUGUGCAUGUAUGCAGUGAUAUUUUCAUGUUUUCGUCUUAUCAGACCGCAGGGACUUCAACCGUGCUAAUGGGCAACGGUUCAAGUGCUUCUGUUCGUGGUGUUGGCACGGUCGAUCUGAAGUUUACUUCGGGGAAGAACGUGCGGCUGAAGAACAUGCAUUAUGUCCCCUCCAUCAAUAAAAAUCUUGUUAGCGGAUCUCUUCUGUGUAGAGAUGGCUACAAACUUGUCUUUGAGUCAAAUAAAUUUGUAAUAUCCAAGUAUGAAACCUUUGUUGGUAAAGGCUAUGAGUCAGGAGGCCUGUUUCAUUUAUCCUUAUCAGACGUUUGCAAUAAAGUUGUUAAUCAUAUUUGCAACAAUAGUGAAUCAAAUGUGUGGCAUUCACGUCUUUCUCAUGUUAACUUUGGUUGCAUGUUGCGACUAGCGAAGUUGAACUUAAUCCCUAGUUUCACCACUAUCAAGGGAUCUAAGUGUCAAGUGUGUGUGCAAGCUAAGCAACCUCGUAAGUCUCACGUGACUGCGGAGACGAGAAAUCUUGCACCACUAGAACUUAUACAUUCAAAUCUAUGUGAAAUGAAUGGUGUUUUGACAAAAGGUGGAAAGAAAUAUUUCAUGACGUUAAUUGACGAUUCCACUAGAUACUGCCAUGUGUAUCUUCUGAAAUCUAAGGAUGAGGCUUUGAACUUUUUCAAGAUCUAUAAAGCUGAACUGGAAAACCAACUUGAUUGAAAAAUAAAGAGGCUUAGGUCCGACCGUGGUGGAGAGUAUUUUUCCAAUGAAUUUGAUGCUUUUUGUGCGGAACAUGGUAUAAUCUAUGAGAGGACGCCUCCCUACUCACCUCAGUCAAAUGGGGUGGCCGAAAGAAAGAACCGUACUCUAACUGAUUUGGUUAACGCCAUGUUAGACACAUCGGGUCUCUCCAAGGCAUGGUGGGGGGAGGCGAUAUUGACUGCUUGUCAUGUCCUAAACCGAGUUCCCACAAAUAACAAAGAGAUAACUCCAUUCGAGGAAUGAGAGAAGAAAAGGUUAAAGCUCUCUUAUCUACGAACCUGGGGUUGUUUGGCGAAAGUCAAUGUGUCAAUUCCAAAGAAGCGGAAGCUGGGACCAAAAAUUGUGGAUUGUGUUUUUCUGGGAUAUGCUUUUCAUAGCAUUGGCUAUAGAUUCUUGGUUGUAAAAUCUGAGGUACCUGACAUGCAUGUCGGUACGAUCAUGGAGUCGAAUGAUGCGACUUUCUUUGAAGAUAUCUUUCCCAUGAAGGAUAUGGCUACCUCAUCUAAUCAGGAGAUGACUAGUUCAUCGAAUCAGGAACCAGUUAUAAUUACCGAACCUGCCAUUUCGAUGGAACACUUUGAAAGUCCUGUGGAGGAAAACAAUGAAGUUCCUACUAGGAGCAAGAGACAGAGGACUGCAAGGUCCUUUGGUGAUGAUUUUCUUGUGUAUCUCAUAGAUGACACUCCCAGUUCUAUUUCGGAGGCCUAUGCAUCGGAAGAUGCUGACUACUGGAAGGAAGCGGUUCGUAGCGAGAUGGAUUCCAUCUUGGCGAAUGAAACUUGGGAGAUAACUGAUCGUCCUUAUGGGUGCAAACCUAUAGGAUGCAAAUGGGUAUUCAAGAAGAAGCUUAGGCCUGAUGGUACUAUUGAAAAGUACAAGGCUCGACUCGUGGCAAAGGGUUAUACCCAAAAGGAAGGUGAAGACUUCUUUGAUACUUACUCACAUGUGGCUCGACUGACCACUAUUCGAGUUCUACUUUCACUAGCUGCCUCACAUGGUCUUCUCGUUCAUCAAAUGGAUGUUAAGACUGCUUUCCUAAAUGGAGAGUUGGAUGAGGAAAUUUAUAUGGAACAACCAGAUGGGUUUGUAAUAGAUGGUCAGGAAGGGAAAGUGUGCAAGUUGCUGAAGUAUUUGUAUGGACUCAAGCAAGCACCCAAACAGUGGCAUGAGAAGUUCGAAAGAACUUUAAUAGCUGCAGGCUUUGUUGUGAACAAAGCUGACAAAUGUGUGUACUAUCGCCAUGGUGGGGGCGAGGGAGUUAUGCUUUGCUUGUAUGUUGAUGACAUACUAAUUUUUGGAACAAAUCUAAAUGUUAUUAAGGAGGUCAAGGAUUUCCUAUCUCGCUGUUUUGAGAUGAAGGAUUUAGGAAUGGCUGAUGUCAUUCUGAACAUCAAGUUGUUGAGAGAUGAUGAUGCUGGGAUUACAUUGCUUCAAUCUCACUAUGUGGAAAAGAUCUUGAGUCGCUUUGGCUAUAGUGACUGCAAGCCCUCUCCAACACCAUAUGAUGCUAGCGUGCUGCUUCGAAAGAAUCGAAGAAUUGCUAGAGAUCAAUUGAAGUAUUCUCAGAUUAUUGGCUCGCUUAUGUACUUAGCCAGUGCUACAAGACCUGACAGCUCUUUUGCUGUUAGCAAACUGAGUCCGUUUGUUUCAAAACCAGGAGAUGUGCAUUGGAAAGCUCUAGAGAGAGUUUUGCGUUAUUUGAAAGGCACUGCGAAUUAUGGAAUUCACUACACUGGGCACCCAAAGGUGCUUGAAGGGUAUAGUGACUCAAACUGGAUCUCAGAUGCUGAUAAGAUAAAGGCCACGAGCGGAUAUAUAUUCACUCAUGGAGGUGGCGCUGUUUCUUGGAAGUCUUGCAAGCAGACCAUCUUAACGAGGUCAACAAUGGAAGCAGAACUCACAACACUAGAUACAGCUACGGUCGAAGCAGAUUGGCUUCGUCGGCUCUUGAAUGACUUGCCGGUUGUUGAGAAACCUGUACCGGGUAUCCUUAUGAACUGCGAUAAUCAAACUGUGAUCACGAAAGUGAACAGUUCAAAGGAUAACAUGAAGUCAUCAAGACACGUUCAAAGAAGGUUAAAGUCUGUCACGAAAAUGAAAAACUCUGGAGUUAUUGCAUUGGAUUAUAUCCAAACGUCUAAAAAUCUGGCAGAUCCUUUUACUAAGGGUCUAUCACGUAAUGUGAUAGAUAAUGCAUCGAGGGAGAUGGGUAUGAGACCCACAAUAUGAGUUGUUCACAGUGGUAACCUAUUCUUUGUGAUCGGAGAUCCCGUGAAUUAGAUGUGGAAGACAAGCUGUUGGUCAACUGGGAGGAGAGUAUCCUUACUGUUAAAAAUACCACUCCAUGAAGAUGCAAUACUCUCCUAAUCUGCAUGGCAGGUUGAUGUAUAUCUUAAUGUGUUCUAAGUGGCUCUUUGAAGCAGAAAUGUUGUCCUGCAGAACAUCUUUUGAAGAACGCACCUAUAUGAGUCUGAUUGUUAAACGUCGCAAUCUAUGAGAGUAGGGUUCUCUCUAGUAAACUUAUGAAAGGUCUCGGAGUAUGACGCAUAACCUCCACCCACGGGGAAGACCCACAGUAACCACGUAUCGGUCAAGGCUUUAUGUGAAGCUAGAUUCACAGAAAACUUGCAGUUCAAGGCCCAGUCCACUGUUCAAGUUGCUUACUAGUGUAGAAUAGGGUUCUAGGUGGAAGUUCAACUUAACAGUCUCCACUGCAGUACCGGUAUAUAAAACAGUAUUUUGGAAGCAAAGGCAAAUUUUGUGUGCCUCUGGGAUCUGGUGGGGGAUUGCUGGAAUUUUUGUCUAUUUGGGCCUAGCCCAAUAGCAGUUUCAGAAAUUCCUAAUAAAUCCUAGAGGCCCACGCAGCCCAUUCGUGCAAGGCAAGAGGUGGAACUAAACUUUAGUCCCACAUUGCUAGUUUAGAGGGAGUUGGACCUCUUUAUAAGGGAGGCUCCUUCCCCACUUGUAUGAGCAUGAGAACAAGAGGGACAUCCACGCGCGCUCCUCCUCCGUCGCCCGCCUCGCCACGCCACGCCACGCCACGCCUCAUCACGAUGCACCGCGCCGCGGGUUGCGGGAAUGAGCCGAGCCGAUGUCUAAAUUUUUGCCACGCACUACGGGUAUACGAAAGGUGCUGAAAAGUUUUUGCGAUAGUGGGGUUUGAAUGCGAACGGUGUAGCCCUUCGGCUGCUGGCUGUUCGCUUCGUCUUCGUCUCUUCGUUUCACCUUCCGUCGCUGCCCUCUCUCCUCCUUCUCUUGCGCCUAUAAAAGGGAGGUCGCUCCUCUCAAAGAGACGCACCAGAACUUCUCCUUCCUCUCGCCACCGGUUCCAAUCUCUGUGUUGUUGCUGUCUUCCUCAUCCCGGAUUGCAGCAUGCACCGCUAGUCGGGACAGUAGGCCUCUGAAACUGCACCUUUUUGAGUCCUGUACGGGAGAAGGGUAAUAAGGUUUUUGGGGAGCGCGACUACUGACUUCUUCGUCACGGACGCCCCGGACUCCGACGACUACUUCCCCGACGACGACUACUUCCUCGACGUCGACAACCUCCUCGACGACAUGGAGGACACCGACCCCAAGUCCAGUGCCUCUGCUCCAGCUGCUGUCUAGUACGUGUUCUUGUUUUUCAUGUUAGAGGUGCUGCCACAGUUCUUUCUUCUAGUGUUUACCCUACACAUGUUAGGAUCUACCUCAUAUAUGCAGAUGUUAUUUACCUUCACUUUGUCAAAUCGCAUGACUUGUUUUAUCACUGCUAUACUAGUCAUGUUUUAUCUAGUAUUUCUGUUAAUAAAAUCAUUCGGUAAAUUGCUCAUAUUUCCAACAAAAACCGUAACCAGAAAAAGAAAGGAACCUGUAAGCACAUCCGUGCUUUUUCAAAAAAAAUUGAAGCAUGCAAUGUUUUUUCUCAUUUUCAGGAAGCACAACUAUGCUUCUCGCGAAAGCACAUGCUAUGCUUUUCUUUUUUCGGGAAACAUAAAUGUGUUUCUCGUGCAAUCACCUACUAUACUUUUCCCUUUUUUGAGAAGCACAAUUGUACUUUUGGAUUGGGCUUACCGCAGAAACACUACUGUACUUUUUUCAUUUCGCUUCUCGCCAUGGUACAUGUGCCUCUCGCAAAAAAAGUAUUGCCUAAAAAAAAUGCAAAAUCUGCCCAAACCUAGUGAAAACCAAGCUAAAGCAAAAAAAAAA